rnacentral:lncRNA from 1 species
UCUCUCCGAACAAACAUGUCCCCUGAGCUGGUGAACACCAAUUGUUUGCCUUGACUACCUGACACGGUCCCUGCGGUCGUUUUUGUGUCGAAGUAAGGGAAGUUGGCAUUAUCUGUUGUCAAGUUGACGGUGUUGAGCACGAGGUUUCCAUCACCUUGCAAGCGCAGCUGGAACCGCCCUUUUGUGUAGUUAGUCUCCGAUUGUCUACACGAAAGCGUCCCAUUUCUCUCAAUUGUCUGUCCAGGCAAAAUGGUGUCUGUAGGAUUGCUGAAGGUCUCCCACAAGCUCCGAGAGUUUUGGUGUUGAAGGACAAAGUUUCCGGUGUCAUUCAUGACCCCGUUCGCAACAGUCCCCAAGGUUAUUUCGGAUUUCCAUGUCUCUCCACCCUGAGGAUUGUUAAGAACUAGUCCACUGUUGGCAGUCAAGUUCAGAACUGAUCCCCUAGGUGCAACCAUGGGGUUGUUACCGUCAUAUGCAUACCAAACUACGGUUUUGUCUGGGAUUUUCGCAUACCAUAUCGAAAGCAAGAAACGAUCAUUGUUUCCGAGGGGCGAAAAUCCAAACGCGAAAUCACCGGAUGGAGAAAGCCAUGAUGAGGAGUCGCCUGUAGUUGCAGUUAGAGAACUCCCAACUGCUACUGUUCCAUUAUUUUGGGAAAUCACAGAAAUUGGUAGCAAAAACAAAGAGGAGAACAAAAGCAUCUCUACAGAAAGAGCCACUGCCAUUGCAAAAGCACCAAUUUUUCAACUUGGCUUGAUUGAUUAGCUAUAUUUCUUAGUAAAGCAUUGGUCCUGGUUAUAUCUUUAAGUAAAUGUGUGUGCACCACGUGCCUGUCAUUUUCUAAGUUUUUGCCUGGAAUUAAAGGCGUCUACACCAUUUUUUGAAGUCACACACAACAAUAUCUCCGGGCCUACAGAAUAAAUUCUCCGAAACUACACAUAUCACAAGAAUUUCACUUUCAAAAAAAAUAAUAUAAUGAAUAGUUCUAUAUAUAAUAACACCGAGAUUUUUUGUGAUAGAACUUAUUGUCUCUUUCAACUCUUUGUAAUGUUGCAAGUUGUAACAAUAUUGAUGUAAUUAGUAAUGAUCCGUGACUUGUCUCUCUCAAAUCUCUUUUCAUCCUACUCUCAUCCCUCGUCUGUUUUAUGAUUCUACUGACUUAAGCACUUAUAAAUGUUCCAAAUCAGCAAAGGACUUGUAACUUAAAUAAUUAAUAAUAUUUAUCAUUACACUCGAGAUUCAUGACUCACGCUGCAUGUGUCGGCCAUUCAAGUCCACCAGUCAAAAUUCAACAAUGGGGACCACAAAGAAAAUUUGAAAAAGUACAUGCAGAUUGAGGACGGAUACAUAGAAAAUCUGAAAACAGACCUUCAGAACCAAACAAAGACGACUAACUAAGCCUUUAAGUCAAGUGAUAAGAGACUUUUUUUUUUUUUUUUUUUGAAGAAUAUAAGAGACUUAUAUCUUCACAAAAACAAAGACGACUAAGUCUCUAUUUCUGUAUUCACAAAAAAAAAGUACUAACCGAAGUUUUUAAUGUAUGAUUACGUCGUUGGGGUAAGACACCCGAGGCCGAGUUGAGAUAAUCACAGAAUCGAGAUCCUCUUCGAAUGUCACAGUCUGGCGCAAACGGACUUAGAGACCCGAACCACUCAUUUUAAAUCAUACGACCUUCAUUAGCUUAUCCUAUUGACCCACAUCACAUAAGGGGUCCGAAUCUCUCUCUCCCCUCUCUUGACCGGUUUGGAUAUCUCGGUCUAUCGAUUUUGGAUUGCGAGAUUCAGAGAGAAUCUGAUUUCGGGUUUGAGGUCUGGUUCGAUGACCAUUUGAAGCCCGUUGAGGCGUGGCCCAUCUCAUCAGGUCGGGUCAGCCAUUUCGUACCAAGUUGAAUCCCAGGUCAGGCCAGCCAUUUCAUUAGCCUAAGAUGGACCUGACGGACGAUGCGCUUGGAUAUUGCUUACUGCGACCAAAUGGACUCAUGGGCUCAUUAGAUGAUGAGUCUGGACCUGGUGUGUGUAAAGGCCACCUCAGCUCGAUCCAUAUUCGAUCGAUACUACAGAGAAGGUGGAUAUGAGGUAAAGGUAGAGUAAGCUCCAAGUCAUGUGGAGGUCAGUCGAGAUUGAACACACGUUCAUAGAAUCAUAGUAUCAAAUUCAAGUCAAAAUUUUAACACUACGAAACCGAAAAGCAUGCAACUCCGAAAAGCAUUGUUUCAGUCCAACAACCCAAACUUCCUUAAAAAACUAAGACCAAAACGACGACAUUAGGAAACGGAAAAUCAUGCAACUCAGAAAACCAUUGCUCUAGUCCAAAUGAGGUUCUUCAAUGCCUCAAGCUUUUCUAAACACCAUAGCCUGAACCUUUUCCUUUGCGCCUUCUUUACUUCACCAGAAACGUUCUUAAUGAGCUCUUCUUCAAAUUUGGGACGAGCAGGCAUUAGGCUGUGCACAAUGCUGUAAAUGCUCCUAGCCCUUGCCACACCCUAGGCGCAUACGCGUGCAUGUCCGACCUGAGUUAUCUCAUUACGCGCGCAGUUUGAUCUUCCCGUAUUGACAUCCCUGCUGUCUAUUCUCCUGCGAAUCCUUCUACUGGUGACUUCAUCCGGGUCCAUUUUCUUGCUCCUCAGUGCAUGUUCAUCUGCUUUUCCAUGUUAAUAGAUAUAGGAAUCCUAUGAGAAACAACAUUUGACAAAACAGAACCUAAUAAUAACAACAAAACUUGACUUCAUCCUCAGUGCAUGUUCAUCUGCUUUUCCAUUUCAAAGCAGCUGACGGCAUGAUUCGUACUUGGACUCCAAGAUGUCUAGAUUAUAGGGAAACCAGCCCUCUAUCCAAAACACACAAAGAAGUGUAUUUUCCGUUUAUACCAAUUAAGUGUGUUGAAGCAUGUCCCACAUGGCCACAUCGGAAACUUGUCGAAGCUUAAAUCCUCUUAUAUAGAAAGUUGAACUACUAAUGCCAUGAGGCCUUAAUUUUGUAUAAAACCAUACUUAUUGAAUUGCACACGUGCUUAAGUUAAGGUCAGUAUUGAUGGCAAUUAGUAGUGGGCCGCUGGGCCGUCUUAAAAAAACUGGUACAAAGGGCAAUUUAUAGAAGCAGUGUUGAGAUAAGGGCAAUUCACCUGUUCCUUUUAGAAGGAUAUAUACGAAUGAAGCAAGGUUUAUCUACUCACCCGUAAUGCGGCUCAGCCCUUCAUAAAAAAGUGAAAGAUCAAAAUUACUUUUACAGCAAGAGCAAUACCAGAAGAUGUAAUCUAAAUUAUUUAUAUUUGGUUCCCUUGAAAUCCUUUUGACUGCUUCAACAUACUAUAUGCAAACAGAACCAGAACCAAGUCCAGACUCACUCGUAAGAGGAAGUCCACCGGGGGUGGGAUAGGUCGGCACCCAAUGGAAAAAACAGGCUGAGACUCAGCCAAUCCACUCCAGCCCGUGGAAUCGACUGGCACCCAGCCCAAGCCAGUCCACAGGCCGACCUAAAAUUGACAGACCUUGGGACCGGCUCAAAUGACAACUAGCUGACGCCAGCGUGGUGUCGAGGGCAAGGAGCCACGGAGGCAAGGCAAAGACCAACUUCCCCACCCCCACUAAGCUCCAUCUCGACGCCGUCAACAUCGCCAACAUGAACAAUGCCGCCAAAUUAGCUGCGACGACGAACAUCAGCAACAGCCACAGCAGCACCGUGGAGUCCUCCUCCUUGCCGUCUCCGCGCCCGCUCGACCUCACUCUCAAAACCCCCCUCUUGUCCACCGACAGCGGCUACUUCACUGCUGCGAGCGGCUUCCGCCUGCUUCCCGCUUCCCGGGAAUUAUCCUUCCGCGAAAGAUCCCCCCGCGAAACUUGUAGGUUCGACCACCCCCCCUCCCCCACGAAACAUCCCCAUAUUUUCCUUCCGGACCAAGUUUGUUCCUCUUUUAUGUAAGAAACAAAAUCCCUGCCCAGCUUUAUAAUAAUUAAUUUAUAAUAAAAAAUAAAUAUUUUUAUUAUUUUAUAAUAAAAAUAAUAUUUUAAUAAAAUUGACUAGGCUAUUUUUUGUUAGGGAUAGAGAUGCAUUGGCCUAUUACUAUUCAUUAGAGUCUAUCGGGAAUGGAUAAAUGGGUUGGGUGCUGGCAUAAAGUCCUUAGAGGUGGACUUGCUCUAAUAGGUCUCCUCAUCCACAACAAUAUCCCAGCUUUCCCUUGUCGUGGUUUUCCCAUAUUUGUGCACCUUACUGCAAAGAGAGAGCAAGUUAACUUGUCAAAGAAAAACCAGAACAAUAGAUGCCAAUGCAGUUCAGAAAGCUUAUUUCCCUUCAUACCCAUUUCCAAAGUGCUCCUCCCCACGUCCUUGACCAACCUAGACAUGAGACAACAAAAACAAAGUUACAUCAGAUUAAAUUAUUGAAAGAAAAAGGUUCACUUCUGUUGUAACAAAUUGACAUUAGAAUCAAGCAACCACGCUAUGAAAUACAAAGUUAAAAUGUAACAAUUUACUGUGUCUUAAAGGAAUCUGUGAAAUAAAAUAGUUAAACCCUAAACAACACCACUGCAAAUUAGGGGUGGGCGCGGUUCAGUUUUGAUUGAAACCAAAACCAAAACCGCAAGUUUUUGCGGUUUGGUUCGGUGCGGUUUUGAAGCCAAAACCAAAAUGAAACCAAACCGUUUGGUUCGGUUCGGUGCAAUUUCAAACGGUUUCAGUUUGGUUUUUAAGAAAAAAUGUACGAUUUGCAAUUUAACAUAUUAAAAAGCAUUUCCCAAUAGUAAUAGGAAAAUGACAUUUGUUAUGUAAACAAUUAGCAUGUUGCAUGUAGUUGUGAUGUUAAAACAUGUUUGUGCAACAAAAAGGUGUCCCUUACAAUAUUUUUCAUAAAACAAGUUGAAUAAAUUUGAAUUCAUUAAACGUGAGCGAAAUUUUCAUACUAGAAUAUGUGAUAUCAUGCUUCAAAUGAGUGGCCUUUAGUAGAUCAUUGUUCGACUCUUGAUAACAAGAUUAGUCCACCCUUGUACAUAUAUGUGUGUGUGAUGGUAUAAAAUAACAAAGGUCAUUCAAGUUAAUGAACAAAAGAGAGUGAUGAAUGAUGAUAUUCUAGUGUGGUUGAGUCCAUACUAAGUGUAUGGAUUUUAACAAACGACCAAUUAAAACAUGAAAUCUAAUAUGGACAUUUAAUUAAAUGUUUAUUAAUAUUUGCGGUGCGGUUUUCAAAAGCCAAAACCGAAACCAAACCGUUUUCUAUGUUGCGGUUCGGUUACAAAACCGAAACCGUUUCAAAACCGCAAAACCAAACCGUUCGGUGCGGUUCGAUUUGGUUCGUGUUUCGAUUUCGGUUUUCGGUUCUAAGUGCCCACCCCUACUGCAAAUAGCAUAAGAAAAUUAAAAUUAACCCUAAAGAAAUUGGGAGAGAAGAAUAUGAAAAGGGAAUACCUUUCGGCCCUUUGAGUUAUUGGAAAAAACCCAACAGAGCAAAAGAUAAGCAAAAAUACAGGAGGAAAGAAAAUAAAUUUUCAACUUGUAAGAUUCAUACGCGAACAUAUUGGCGGUCAAAAGCAUUUCGGAACUCAGAGCCAUCAAGCUUUUUGAUCUGCAUGGAAAUUAUUUAUGAAGUUUGAGAUUCUUAUAGACGCUUUAGACACAUCGACAUAUUGAAAAAGCAAUAUUCAACAACCUAGUACCCAUGCUCCAUGAAAGGUUACAGAAAAUAUGAAUGACUGGACUCUGGAGUGAGAAAGUAAAAGGACUUACCGCAUACUUCAUAUCUUCUAAGUUUGUGUAGUCUACAAUCCCUGUUGUGCCUACAAAAAAGGCAUAGGACAAAAGCUAAAUCAAUCGAAAUUCUGAUGUCUCAUGAUCUAGGUCGUAGGAUUAAACUACUGAAAUAACACUAUAUGAAAUAGCAGUGUAUAUCCCAAAAAAAGUCUGAAAUCUGGUUGAUAAUUGAAGAGUUCGAAGGGAUUUACCUUUGGAUUCUUUGGCUUUCAGAUGGAGUUUGCUUAUGUGUGGGGGAGAGAGGUGGAGCGGCUAGAGCUUGAGUAUGGAAGAGAUGAAAAAUGCAGAGAGCACCUGUUUUGGCUGAAGCAACUCACACACUCUGGACAAAUCUGCAAAUGUCUAAAAGGGGGAAAAUAUAAAAAGAAACCUUAACAACUGAAUUCAAAGAAACAUUAUUACAUUGUAAAUAACAUUUCACAAAAAAAAAAAAAAACUAAACUAAACUAAUUACACUCGGAUUGCAAUGCUAUCAUUUAAUAAUAGGAAUUCCCAUAACUUAGCAGAAGACCUGCAUCUGCAAAGGAUUCUUUAAAACCUAUUUUUUUUAACAACCCCGCACCUGCAACACAUCCAGGCAAGGUAAACCAAUAGCACCCUCAUGCUGAGCUCUUCUGUGCAUAUAUACCCCUUAUAAGUAAUCUUAAUCAAUCAGUUAUCAUGAAUAUAGUCAGUUAUCAUGAAUAUACAACUUAUAUUAAUUUUCUACAAUAUCCAACACACAAAUAUAACAGAAGAGGAAACUUUUACUUAAGCAGCACAAAAUGAUAUCCUCUGCAUUUCAUUCCAAAAUCCAUCACUCUUAUGUCUUUGCCUGCACAGUUUUUGCUCCAACAUAGCACACCAUGAUGAUAGCACUAUCAAUAAUUAAGACAUAAAGAAAGGCUAUCCUAGCUAGGUAUUAUCAUUGGAGUAAACCAACAACACCAUAAGUAAAGUAGCAGACCAAAUUUUUUCUAGAAUUGAUGUCUUAACAUGUUUAAGUAGCGAAAAGAUUACAACACAUUGGAUGUGUUAACACAUCCAUAAGCUAAUGACUCCCUCUCCAGUUUACCGCAUCAUUCUUAAUGUAUUCAACAAUGCAGCAGUAAUUAAAAGUCCUUGGAAAAUGCCAAGCUACUACAAUGACAUAACGAAAACUAUAUCUCACCAUACCCCCUUGUUGGCAUAGACAGCAUAUCCGUCCUUGUUCAGGGUGAAUCAUUAUCCUGAACUCAAUUAUCAUCAUCGUCGAGAAUGUCAAACUUUAAAUCAACCAUGCAUGGAACAAAACCUAGAAAUUAAACAAUUAUCAAAGCUUAUGAAGAAUGCUAAACCCAACUAAUUCGAAACAUAAAGUAACCCAAAAGAGAGAAAACUUAUAAAUUUUACAUAAAUUAUAAUCCUUAACAGAAGGAUGGAACAAAGCAUGUUCAUUCUUGAGAAUAGGUGUAAUUUUGCACAUUGCAUAUAUGUACAUUAAGGACGGUGGUAACAUACCUUGUAAUUUGUACAAAUUAGGAUUUUCAUUCAAAGAACCAUAAUAUACACAAUUACAAAAACAGUGAUACAAACUUGUUCUUCUCUUAAGGAAAUUACUCACAGUUGAAAUUCUGAAUGGACAAAGUUUUGGCAUCCCUUUCCGACUAUAUUUGAUUAACCUUUUUUUAAUCCAAUGAGUGCCUUCAUGAGAGAGAGAGAGAGAGAGAGAGAGAGAGAGAGAGAGAGAGAGGAAUAUUCGGUGAAAAGUAUUGCCAAAUCACACAGAGAUCAAAAUCUUGAAUAUAUAUGUUUAACCAUAUCAAAGUGAGUGUGUGAAAGGGUGUAGUCUGCAGAAAGGGCAACAUUUUCACUGCUAGAAAGUUGGAAACUAAACUUUUACACAGAUAUUGGAUUUUAUUAAUUCCCUCCGCGAAUUGAAAAGCAAAUUGUUCGAGUAAUGCAGGUAAAUUCGAUAUACAUAUGCGUUGAUCUAUGUAAGACGGUUAUAAGUUAUAACUGUAUCGUCUUAACACAAAAAAUGAUCAUAAAUGUAAGUGUCUGUAUUAUGGAAGUAAGGGACUUGCAGCAAUUGCUAUGAGCUCUAACAGCAGUCACUCCAAGUACCCUAUUAUGGAAGUAAGGGACUUAGUAAGGGACUUACAUCAAUUGCUAUGAGCUCUACCAGCAGUCUCUCAAAGUGGUGCAAGGGCUAAAAUUAUAAAUAAAAAGUAAUUUAAACAAUUUAACUUAAUAAAAUAUUGUAAUUUAAACAAUGCCUAUAUAUUCAAACAUCCCAAAACAGGAAUGAACUUCCAGAAAACAUGCGCAUGAAAAUAAACGGCAUUACUCACCCAUUGAGUUGGACCAUCAAACUAGAGCGUAAGAAGGAUCAUCAUGUACCUAUGAAACCCAAAGGAAAAUUUUAGCAACCCCAAAGCUUGUAUGCAAGCGUGAAUAAGUAUGCAUGUAUGAAUCUAUUCAUAGUGAAGAAGGCUACCUUAAGAAAUAUUUGCAUCUGCAGCUUCAUAUGGCCAUACAACAAAAAGCACCGCAUAUGAUAACAAACCCCAGCUGCACCACAAAAGGAAUAUGAUCUUCCUCUCAACUUGUAUUUGUAGUUGUUACUGUAACAUCUGCAGACAGCAUACAUAAGCACUGAUUCGAUAAUUCUAAAGGGAAAAAAGUCCUUAUUCGAUAAUGCACCAAAUCCUAUCCAAAAACCAAGUGGGUGCCAUAUCCCUAGAUUAACAGAGCAUCUUUCUUUGUUCCAAAACAAAUUGCAAUUGGCUUUGGUAAAGUAGAAAGAUUACCAGAUACCGACUCUGUUCCAUUAUUCGACUGUCCUUUUAGUUCUGUCUCUCAACAUGGGAAAUACAAUAAGACAGUAAAAACAAAAGUUAGUGAUGCUAUUACAUAGUGAAAGAAAAUAAGACAUUCACAUAUUGAUAGCUAUUUACUGUCCUUUCUCAUCAUAAUCUUGGCCCCUAUAUAUACAUAUAUUGAAUUUUGAAAGCAAUGAGAGAAAUAUACCUUUGGGGCGUCACCGCCAGAAGGGUGAGUGAGGGAUCUAAGAUGUUUAAGAGCAGGAAUUUUUAAGUAAUUUGUGUGAAAAAGUUGAAGAGCUUCGAACAUAGUGGAGUGGGUUGGCCUGGGCUAAAAUAAAGAGGAUGAACUCUAGAAAGUAGAAAAUGUUGUUGUUCAACCAAACUCAAAAGUAAAGAAACCAUAUGAUUAACAUAUAAAUAAGUUUUAUAUACCAAUGUUUACAUGUACGUUGUUUGAGAAGGUAAAUUAGCAACAUAUACAGUGAUCAAAAGAUUAACAGCAAUAAACUGCUCAUUAUUCGAAAUAUACAAGAAAGUUGUCAUUCACAUGAUCCAAAUGGCAGAGGACAAAACAGAAGGAAGCAAAUAUUAUAGCAGCAUAAGUUGAAUAAUUGCAGCAAGUAAACAAAUAGAAAGGCUAGCUAGAUUACACAAUCCAGUUCUAGGUCGGACUAACCAUGUUAGCCAUCCGCCCACCACCAGCACCGUCGGCUUCUUAUUAAAAAUGUAGAAUAGAAGACUAAAAAAUUGGAAAUGAAAGCAGGUAACAUUGAGUUUUAAUAACCAAAAAGGGACACUGUUUAAGCAGCUCCACAACAGCAAUAAUACUUGGAUGAUGACCUGCAAAAACAGAAAAGAAAACACAAAUUAAACUAAAAAAAUAUAAAAUUUAACACUAAUCCAAGGAUUAAAUAUCAAAUAUAAAUUCAUUAGGAUUGGGACCUUUGCAUUGAGGAAUAUCUACUACAUUAUGAGUUCCCUCUUGAUAAAGCCCAAUCAGGGGGUUUUUCGAUGAGCCAAGAACGGCUAACUUUGCGUGACACCGCCAUCCCCACUAACACCAAACCCAGAUAAUAUCAAGAUCAAAACUAACCAAUACCAGAAAGAUUUUUUUAUUUAAAUUUUAAGAAAAGACCUAAACUUUACGAAAUUAAGGGGGAAAACAAAGUUAAGUAAAGCACCAAUUUGCAACUGUCAAAAGUGAAAUAUGAGACUCCAACUGUCUAGAAGAACUCCGUGGCCUCAUCGACGAUGACCGGAUGGUGGAGAUUGAACUGGUGCGUACACCCGAAACACCUGAUUAUACACCGAACAGAGAACAAAAUUUAAAUCAAGUCGAACAAUAAUUAUGAGAAAAUAAACUAAAAGGGAUUUGAGCUGAGAGUUACGAUUCGAAGUGCGGGCAAUGGAGGGUGCAGGUUAGCGGCGGCAGAGAAGGGGUUGAGCUUGGGUUCAGGUCCGUUUUAGGAGGUGGAGGCUCUUGAUAGAAGAUUGGCAUUGGAGUCGUUUUACAAAUCAGUUUCUUCCUGAACAUCCUAAUGUCAGCUUCUAGAGUUUCCUGUAAAAGAACAGACAACAUUCAUAAUAAGAAAAUCUCUCUAUGCAAUCGCAGAAAUCCCUCGGGUUUCAGGAAGCAAAUGGAAAAUGAAAUGCUUUUCUCCCGUAUCUCUCUCUCUCACCUCUGUCCCAUCUCUCUGUCUCCAAAUCGCAGAAAAGAAACCCUAAACAAAUCCCUGAAAUCCCUCGCCUAAAUCCUCCUACAUUUCUCUCGGACAACCCCCUCUUUCUCUUUGCAAACCCUAAACCAAAUCUCCUAAAUCCUAUCUCAGGCACCACACAUACAGCCAAGAAGCCAAGAUAUUAAAGCAAUCUCUAUAUAAUACUUUGGAACAAUGAAGAAAAAUGGUACUUACUUGUUCCUUGUCCAAAACAGUUGGUGCCGCCGCACAUUGUUAUCAAUUGUGGGUUGAUCAAAUCCUUCAUGGCUUAGACUGCAUGAAGAAUUAGAAACUAAAAGAUGAAUAUAUGCCGUAAAUCAUCAUAUAAAUGUAACUGCAUUUAAAAAAAGAAGGGAAUGACAAAAUUGAAUUCUAUUUCAUCAGUAUGUAACUGCAUGAAAAGUUACUUUGAAUGAAGACUCGAUCAAUUUCCCCAAAGUCAUUGUUAACUGAAAAUCAAUAUCAAACCCAUAAAUACCACAUUGAAUUUGACCAAGUUAAAGGAUAAAGGCAGUCGCAUCAUCGUAUUACUCUUUGGGAAGAUCUUCUAAUAAUGGUUCUUCCUUUUUCUUGCUCUUCCUCAGAACUGCCAUAAAAACCCCAGAGAAGCAUACAAAUUCAGAAAAGAAAAGGUUCAAAACUGCCAUAAAAAAAAUCCAGAAAGCAUACAAAUUUAUCAGAAAGAAAAGUUCAAAUUACAAAUACCAAAUGAUGUGAGUGAGUAGUGAGAGGUUGUGUUAGGCACCUGAAACACAUUUUGGUUUCAAUUGAAAGGGCCAGAGACAACAUCCACAUUCUUUUUUCUUGGGUGAACUAACCAAAUCAUAUUAUAUACUAAAAUGACAUAAAAAAUCAUUCACAAACUCACAACAAAAUAGAACAAAAAGAUUCACAAAAGAUUUGGGAGUUGAGACGCUAACAAAAACAUUUCUUUUCUAAACAAAUACACAACCGCUAAUCUGGGUUUGGUCAAUUUAACUAAAACGGUGCGCUAUUUUGCAUCUAAAUAUAGUAUAUCGCUUAAAUAAAAUUAAUAAAAAAUACACAUCCAAAGCUUUUAGUCCAAAGCUAGAAUUAGGAAUAACUGAGGAAGUUAAUGAAGGCAAAGCAGAGGGUAGGAUGCAGAACAUACCAAGAGACCAGUAGGCCAUCGGGGCCGGUCUGCCGAUGAACGCUGUGUACUGGUCGACAACGCCCAACGGAGUCGGCGCAGAAAAAAAGUAAAAGUCGAAACCACCCCCAAUGACUUUGUAGGUGAGAGAAGUCCCUAUGUAGAACACAUUCAUGCCAUUGCUGUUGAGCAGCAGAACGCAGUGCGCGUAAGCCUCGUUGCCCACAUUCCGGAGAUCCAUGUAAACUGGGUGGGACCCGUACAAAUCAGUGUUGAGAUUGAUCGCCGAGAAGUCAGUGGUGAAGAUGAUGUAUGGAUCGUUCGGGUAGAGCUUGAUCCCGUGCGGCUGAGAGUUCUCUUCGAGGCCGUACAAGGAGGAGUCUUUCGGCACUCGGGUGGAUAUCUUGAUGUCUGGUCCUUAAACACCAGUACUAGUCCAAUAAACCACUCCGCUUUUAUUGAUUUUCAAUUCAUGUUCAUUCGGGUCCCAAACAAGACUGAACGGCCCCGGAGCCGGGUUGUAGGUAUCUACAUAUGAUAUAAGUGCCCAGACGUGGCCAGCACUGCGGUUGACACCUAACUUCAUACCCGGUAAAAAUGUGUCUCCAGGAUAAUCACUUCAGCAGAUCGAGGGUGAUUUGAGGUGUUUUCCCGCUGAAUUGGACUUCGACCCAGGUAUGAAAGUUGUUCCUCUUAUCGAGAUCUUCAUUCAUGUAAAAUUUGGGAAUUUUAGAAUUGUUGAAUUCUUCGGCGAGUCAGGGCUACCAGCCGCCACGUGCUUCGGCGCGUGGCCCUUUGGCCGCCGUCCCAUGGCGGCUCGUGCGGUGAUGUAUGCAGGAAAACCUAAGGUUCCUCCUUAGGUUUUUCGAUGUACCAAACCCGAAUCCGCCGUCCUUUUUCCAAAAUUCUAACGUUUUCAUAGAGUUUUAUUAAACGACCUUUAAUUGUGUUUAGGUGCAUCGGUGGAAGUGACCUCAUUCUUGAUGGUUCGAGCGGCUUUCGGGCAAUGGAAAACUUGUGAGUAGACCCCUUCUAAACUUAUAUAUUGUUAUAAAAUAUUAGCCUAGCAUGCAUUCCAUAUUUCAUGAUUUGAAUAUGAUUUAUAAUAUGCUUUAUGGACUUUUAAUUAUGGUUUACGAAAUAGUUUGAUUUAUCGAAAUUACGUUUUAUUAGGUAUUGAAUUAUUGGAUUUGCAUAUAUGGAUUUCUAUGGUUUUCAAAUACGAUUUAUAUUACGGUUUUACGAACAUGAAUUAUUUUAUGGAUUUCAUGAAUACAAUUUAUCUUGGAUUUAUGAGAUGAGACUUUGAGCUAGUGAGCUCCGGGUUUGAUAUGAGUUUUGAGAUAUGUUUUUGGUACUUAUCUAGUGGGUUAUCAUACAGCACAUCCGCACACCACGGGUAUAGAUGUGUAUGGCCAUAGGACACAGAUGAUGAGGAGGAGUAAGAUAUGAUAUAUUAUAUACCCCCAGUUCACUAUCGAAAGCAGUGUCAGAUAACCUCACUAGCCAUGGCUAGUGUCGGUAUGGAUGUUAUGCUAUUUCAUACAGCUUCACCUUCGGGUGAUAGACAGGUUAUUUAGCUUCACCGUCGGGGUGAUGGACAUGUACUACCUUCGGCCAACUAUGAUAGCCUUAGUUGAGCACUUCACUGACAAGAUUUACAAAUUUGCCUUCGGGCAACGACAUUUUCAUUAUCAAGCACUGGAUUUUACAUAUCUACCUUCUAAAUGGAUUUUCAUGGCAUGCUAGGGUUUUUCAUAAAGCCUAUAUGUAGUAUUAUAUAUGUUUUCAAAAUAAGGGGUUAUUAUGUUCAUAAAUAAAAUGUUUUCCUAUUAUUAGUAUUAUUAAUAUAAACUUUGGUCCACUCACCUUUUCAGUUUUUGCGCCUCCUCAGGAGUUAGGAUCGAGGCACAUGAUCCCGGCAUCAUGGCAUGUUGAUAUAGGUAUCCUUGAAUCUUCUCAGUGUAGGUAUCAUUCCCUUAUUCAUAUCUUUUUAUAGUGAUUCUUCCCUAUUAUUUCUAAUUAGUUGUAUGCUCUAAACACAUUCCUGCUUUGGUAAUCGUUAUAACUACUUAUCUUGUAAUUGUUUGCAUGUUUAAAAUGGUUUUGUCACCCUUGGGCGUGGGCUAGCACGUGCCUACCCUGGUAUGUUGGGAUAUCGGGGUUGGGGCGUGUCAAAGAUAGAGAGUGAAUUUCUAGCAGAUUCAAUGGUUGUCUACAUUUUAAAAAGAGCUUGCCGAAAAGAUUGAUUCAGAUGAAAUAACAAAGGAUUUCAAUUCCAUUAAGGAUUGAAGGGCACAACUUGAAUAGGUAUUUUUCUUUUUAUUUGUUAGGUUGUUAUGACAAGAUUGACGAUGUAUGUUUCUUUAUAUUGUAAGUUGCAACUUUAAAGGUUUUCUUUGUUAAAUCUAGUUGAAACUUGAUUCAUUUAGAGUUAAAUUUCUUACUUCAAAUUGUUGCUUUUAGGCUUAUUAUUGUGUAACUUUAUGCAAGCAACAAAAAAUUUUAACCAUUUGAUUUUGUACUAAUAAUUUUAGCUUAGCAUGCCACCAAAUAAUUCAUGGCUCCGCUAUUGAAAUCUUAGCAUGUGCAAUUUCAAAGUCUCGGUUGCCAAGUCUCCCCAGGCUGUUCAGCACCCAUUCUGAAUCUUGAUCGAGAUCUAGAGCAGUGCAAGUCAAGGAGUCUUCAUUCUCAUUUGAAACAAUGCUAAAAUUAUACCUCAGCUUGGACUCCUUGGGCAAAAUAUACCCAAAUGUAUUAGUACUACUUGUGGAUACACCACUAGUCCAAAAAAAUCACCUCUCCUUUCUUAAUCUUCAAUUGGUGAGGGUCCCAAUCAAGCGUGAAAGGCCCCGGCGCACGGUUGGCUUUAGUUUCCCAUGAUGAAAUCCACGAAACAUGGCCGUUUGUACGGUUGACACCCAAUUUCAUGCCCGGUAAAAAGGUGUCAACUGGUAAUCAAAGCUUUACGUUCACUUCUUCUUGUACAAAAUUUCCCGAAUCCAAAAGGAUAGCCACAACAGUAGCAAUACUGUUACUUAUGUUGGUAGACCUAGUAGUUUGUGGAGCUGAGAAAAACGCAAUUGGAUUAGGAUCCCCCCCGCAUAAUUUUCAAGGUUUUAUUCCUGUCCAAGGCAAGAGUGCGUACAAAAUAGGGGCUUUACGGUUGCAAAUCCAAGCAAUGUUGCCAUCGGCCUUGUUGCUCUGGAUAGAUACGUAGCUGGUGCUUUUGGAACUGUCGUCGUGUACACAGGAACUGAAACUGAACUUCUCCGAUGCAGAGACCAAAGAAUUUGAGGAGUUGAGAGUGUCUCCUGCUGGUUUCAGUGUGUCCCUUGCAGGUCCACAGUCAGCAUGCAAAAAUGAUUAAGUUGAUUAUUGCCAUGAUUAAUUAAUGACCAUAACAUGAAGUUUAAUUUCUCCAUAUGAUGAGGAAGAAAGACAUGAAAUCCAUCACCAGAACAUGAUUAAGAAUUUAAUCAAGCAACGCGUCUCAGUUAAACCAUUACAAUCUUUGUACAAGGCAUUUAUAAAUUAAAAAAAAAGGGAAUAAAGUAAUAAUUACAAGUUUUACACAAGUGACCAUUUAUUACAAUGGUGGAAAGGUGUUAAGCUUUUGCAUGACGGUGUGAGUUCGAACCUCGUCGGUAGUUAAUCUACGAACCCCGUCGGUAGUUAAUUUAACUUCUAAUCUAAUAAAAUCUAUUUUUUGACCAAAAAAAAAAUAAUUACAAGUUUUACUAAAAAUUUAGGGGUGUGAUAUCCACACACCCCUUUUUACUUCUCUUACACCUUUUUUAUUUUCGACCGUCGGAUAUGAUGAAUUGAAGAAAAUCAACGGACAAAAAUUAACAAGGAAUGUGUGAGAAGUAAAAAGGGGUGUGUGGAUAGCACACCCCAAAAUUUAUCGGAAGACUUGAUCACCCAUUUGUAUGCUGACAACGGUGACUAGAUUCACAACCUCUUUCCCACGUAAAUCACAUCAUCCAAUUUUAUUUUUCUUACAACAUAUCACGUAUCUGUCAUAUGCAAGACUUUUUUUUUUUGUUUAACAUGAAAACGAAGACUUUUUUGGAAUAUGGAGAGUGAAAUUGCAGCGGAAGCAUCCUAGAUUUUUGAUCGAAUAUUGAGUUUGGUUUCAUGCCAGACUUCCUGGAUCAAACACACCCUAAAAAAAUAUAUAAAAAACCAAUAAGGUCAUGUGAUACGACAUCAUUUCAAGAGGAAAGGUACAAACAAUCUAGUUUCUAUACUAGGAAGAUUCACUCGAACAAAUUCUUGGAAACUAUGACUCAAACAAAAUUCUAGGAAUUCAGUAUUUUUAACAAAUGAUAAGCGUUUAAGAUAUAUUCUUUAUAAUAUUAGAGAAAUCGAACGGUUGAUCUAUAACUCGCAAAGUGGUUGUAGCUCAAGUAAUUUUACUCCCCAAUUUUACAUAAAACAUAAAAUAAAAACAAAUCCUAAUUUACAUGGUAAUUUUUUUUCAUAGCUAGGGACAACUUCGACUAUGGUAAUGCAAUUAAUAUACACUAGUUUUGGAUGGAGAAGUUUCAAGAUUGAGUAUGGGAUGGGGAGGGGCGAGAGACUUGGAUGGAGAGGUGAGGUUUUAUGAGUUAAACAGUGAUGCAAGGAUGUAUUACUUAAAACUUUAGAGACCGUAUGUUGGGCUAUAUAUAAUAUACGUUACAUGGAUAAUUGUUUAACUCAUAAACGUUUUGAGUGUUUCUAACAUAUGCUUAUCAAAAGCCUUCUCGUUCCAUCAAACAAUACGAAAAUUUUCAAUUGAAUGAAAGACAUACUAUUUUAUAUAUCACAGUACUUCAUGGAUCAUCAUCAUCACAUAUCCUUAAUUCAAAGGUAAUAAAUGAGCAUCUAGUUUUAUUUUAAUUUUAUUUUAUAUAGGGACUACAGAAGCAAGCACCCUCUGUAAAUUAAACUCUAAAACUUCUCAAGUAUCUUGAAAGGUGCCAAAAGCCAUCAGCCAACUCCAGUUGAUGCAUAACCUCCUACAUUUACAAAAACAGCGUCGCCGUUAAUUUAUUGACUUCUUCCCAGGACACAUACCAAUUUGCGAAAGUGGUUUGACUGAUGCUAUAAUUAGUCGAGUAAAGUACAGUCUUUUCAAUUAAGCAGAUGCAAAACACUUAGUUGAUGCACUACAAAUAUGAUUUUUACCUUUAAUUAACGCGCUUCAAAAUCAGAACUGGACUUGUAGUUUGCUGAAGCAACAGUUUCAAGUUGCUGAUUCCCACUUAUACCAGCCUCCACCGUCCUCCUUCCAACAAAAAAUGCUGGCUUUGUUGGUGAUGCUAAUGGAAAGCUUUCAUUUGUCAACAUAGAUAUGACAUCUGACAUGGUAGGGCGAUCUGCUGCAUUUUCUUCUACGCAAAGCAGACCGACAUGGAUGCAUCUUAACAGUUGCUCUUUAAUAAACGAAUUUCCUAAUGUUGGAUCCGUUAAUUCUAGCCCUGCACCUUUUUUCCAUAACUCCCAUGCCUGAAGAACAAGGAUUGCAUUUCAUUCUAAAGAAGAAAAAUAUGAUUAUAAAUUUUAAGAGAGAGAUUUGUUUGUCAUACAUAUCCUACUAAAUUGAGUGCGCGAUCGUCAUUGUAAAAGCUGUUGUUUUUCCUUCCACUUAUGAUUUCAAGCAUCAAUACCCCGAAACUGUAGACAUCAGACUUUACAGAAAUAAUUCCCCCCACGGACUCUGGAGGCAUGUAACCACUACACCAAAUGAAAAAGAAAAAUAGUCAGUAUACUUAUCUGGAAAAAUGCGUGUUUAGCAGUCAAAAGGGGAGGACCACGUCAAUAUGAUGCAGAAAUACUUACAGUGUCCCCGCAACCUUUCUAGUGUUUGCUUCCAAUUCAUUUUGGGUGAAAAUCCUUGCCAUACCAAAAUCUGAAAUUUUUGGGUUCAUGUUUUCAUCAAGUAGUAUGUUACUAGCUUUUACAUCUCUAUGAAUUACUUUCUUUCUUGAGUAUUUGUGCAGAUAAAGCAACCCUUGAGCAAUUCCUUCGAGAAUGCUAAAACGCUUCUUCCAAUCUAGUAGUAGACCUCUGAUUGGAUCUGUCCAAUAUGUUGAGUUAAGUAGGACUAAUAUUAAUUAAUAGUAGUACUCUAUGAACUUUGACAGUAAAAUAAAAAUCAGAUAGUAAAUUUAACAAAUGAAAUCAAGUAUCUUGGUUCCUCACCAAAUAAAAAGUGGUCCAAACUUUUGUUCUGCAGAUACUCAUAUAUCAACAUCAUUUCUUCACCAUGAAUGCAAAAUCCGAAAAGGUGAACCAGGUUUGUAUGUUGGAGUUCAUAUAUAAGUAUCAGUUCAUUCUUGAAUUCUGAUGUUCCUUGCCCUGAACAUUUCGAAAGCCUCUUCACAGCUAUUUCUUGUCCCGUUGCCAAUUUCCCCUGAAUUGAUAAUCCAUAUCAUGCUUUUGCUGUCAUUUUUAGGCAAUUGAAGCUAAUUCCAUUUUUUUUUUCUUACAGCUUUUGAAUUAGAAGCAGAAAUUUUUGUUUUUUCAAAAUGUUACCUUAUAAACCGGUCCAAACCCUCCUUGUCCUAGCUUGUUUUCUUCAGCAAAGUUUCUUGUGGCAGCCACGAUGGAUGAAUAGCUAAAAACGCUAAAAUCAUGAUGUCGCUUAGAUUCAUGAAGAUAAGCAUUUCGUUCUCAAGCGUUGUCCGGUUCUCACCUAUACAGAUCAAUUAUAAGAAAUUAAAGUUUCAAUGGAGACAACAAUUGUCAAAGAUGUGAUUAAUAAUCCUGUAUUACUGGUGCACAUGAUUUAAAGAAAUAUACCAGCUGAUGCAAGGGCUGAUCUUCUUCGUCGGAGUAGAUAGUACGCGGUGCAAAGCACUAGAGCAGCAGCUAUAGAAAUGCCAAUCCAAACCCAUUUAUCUGCUGCAUCAUAAACAAUUAGCUAGCAACAUAUGCAAUCAGUGUAACACACACGGACAUGUACGCAUUAAUUGUCUUCAAUUUUUGGAUGAACUAGGUCUUGCAGGUUUCUUCCGGAAAACGGAAAAAUUCGAGACAGAGAGCAGAACUUAAGACAACAAUAACAAAGAUAGAGGUACCUAAUAAUACUGAUUCCACGCGUGUCACAGAUUUCCGGCUCAAAUCGGGUUUGCAGCCUCGGUAUAUAUCCUUCGGAUCAAGAAAAGAAAACCCUUUUGGGCAUUCGCAGGUUGGCCUUUUAUCUGGUUUGAGCAUACAGGUACUGUUGUAACCGCAAACACCAACGCCCAGUCGUAGGCAAAUAUCAUCCGGCAUAUACACCAGAGGACUAAUCCAACUUGCAUUUCCCGUGAAGUUUUUCUGGUGAGAAUAUAAAGCGAAAAUCCCAUCAAAAUCAAGAGUUGCCCUUAUGUAGUUGUCCCUCACCGACACUCCCUCUGUCCCCUUAAGAGGGACUCUUCCAUCAUUUUCUCUUAGAACAAACAUGUCCCCUGAGCUGCUGAACACCAAUCGUUUGCCUUGACUACCUGGCACGUUCCCUGACGUGGUCUUCGUGGAGAAGUAAGGGAUGUUGGCAUUAUCUGUUGUGACGGAAAUGAGCACGAGGUUUCCAUCACCUUGCAAGCUCAGCCGGAACCGCCCUUUUGUGUAGUUAGUCUCCGAUUGUCUACACGAAAGCGUCCCGUUUCUCUCAAUUGUCUGUCCAGGCAAAACGGUGUCUGUAGGAUUGCUGAAGGUCUCCCACAAGCUCCCCGAGUUUUGGUGUUGAAGGACGAAGUUUCCGGUGUCAUUCAUGACCCCGUUCGCAACAGUCCCCAAGGUUAUUUCGGAUUUCCAUAUCUCUCCACCCUGAGGAUUGUUAAGAACUAGUCCACUGUUGGCAGUCAAGUUCAGAACUGAUCCCCUAGGUGCAACCAUGGGGUUGUUACCGUCAUAUGCAUACCAAAACUACGGUUUUGUCUGGGAUUUUCGCAUACCAUAUCGAAAGCAAGAAACGAUCAUUGUUUCCGAGGGGCGAAAAUCCAAACGCGAAAUCACCGGAAGGAGAAAGCCAUGAUGAGGAGUCGCCUGUAGUUGCAGUUAGAGAACUCCCAACUGCUACUCUUCCAUUAUUUUGGGAAAUCACAGAAAUUGGUAGCAAAAACAAAGAGGAGAACAAAAGCAUCUCUACAGAAAGAGCCACUGCCAUUGCAAAAGCACCAAUUUUUCAACUUGGCUUGAUUGAUUAGCUAUAUUUCUUAGUAAAGCAUUGGUCCUUGUUAUAUCUUUAAGUAAAUGCGUGUGCACCAUGUGCCUGUCAUUUUCUAAGUUUUUGCCUGGAAUUAAAGGCGUCUACACCAUUUUUUGAAGUCACACACAACAAUAUCUCCGGGCCUACAGAAUAAAUUCUCCGAACCUACACAUAUCACAAGAAUUUCACUUUGAAAAAAAAAAUAUAAUGAAUAGUUCUAUAUAUAAUGACACCGAGACUUUUUGUGAUUGAAUUUAUUCUCUCUCAACUCCUUUGUAAUGUUGCAAGUUGGAGCAAUAUUGACGUAAUUAGCAAUGGUCCGCUGACUUGUCUCUCUCAAAUCUCUUAUCAUCCUACUCUCAUCCCUCGUCUGUUUUAUGAUUCUACUUACUUAAGCACUUAUAAAUGUUCCAAAUCAGCAAAGGACUUGUAACUUAAAUAAUUAAUAAUAUUUAUCACUACACUCGAGAUUCUAGGUUCCAAAAUAUAAUAUAUAAUAUAUAUGAAUGUUUCCGAACCAAAAGGACAAGUAAAUACGAGCAUGACUCACGCUGCAUGGGUCGGCCAUUCAAGUCCACCAGUCAAAAUUCAACAAUGGGGCCCACAAAGAAAAUUUGAAAAAGUACAUGCAGAUUGGGGACGGAUACAAAGAAAAUCUGAAAACAGACCUCCAGAACCAAACAAAGACGACUAAGCCUUUAAGUCAAGUGACAAGAGACUUAUAUCUUCACAAAAACAAAGACGACUAAGUCUCAAUUUCUGUAUUCACAAAAAAAAAAGUACUAACUGAAGUUUUUAAUGUAUGAUUACGUCGUUGGGGUAAAACACCCGAUGCCGAGUUGAGAUAAUCACAGGGUUGGGGAAUCAAGAACCUCUUCGAAUGUCACAAUCUAGCGCAAACGGAUGUAGAGACUCAAACCACUUAUUUUAAAUCAUACGGCCUUCAUUAGCCUAUCCUAUUGACCCACAUGGUCCAAAUCUGUCUCUCCCCUCUCUUGAACGGUUUGGAUAUCUCGAUUUGUCGAUUUUGGAUUGCGAGAUUCAAAGAGAAUCUGAUUUCAUGUUUGAGGUGAGGUUUGACGACCAUUUGAAGCCCGUUGAGGCGUGGCCCAUCUCAUCAGGUCGGGUCAGCCAUUUCGUACCAGGUUGGAUCCCAGGUCAGGCCAACCAUUUCAUUAGCCUAAGAUGGACCUGACAGACGAGGCGCUUGGAUAUUGCCUACCGCGACCAAAUGGACCCAUGGACUCAUUAGAUGAUGAGUCUGGACCCUGGUGUGUGUAAAGCCCACCUCAGCUCGAUCCAUAUUCGAUCGAUACUACAAAGAAGGUGGAUAUGAGGUAAAGGUAGAGUAAGCUCCAAGUCAUGUGGAGGUCAGUCGAGAUUGAACACACGUUCAUAGAAUCAUAGUAUCAAAUUCAAGUCCAAAUUUUAACACUACGAAACCGAAAAGCAUUGUUUCAGUCCAACAACCCAAACUUCCUUAAAAAAACUAAGACAAAAACGACGACACUAGGAAACGGAAAAACAUGCAACUCAGAAAACCAUUACUCUAGUCCAAAUGAGGUUCCUCAAUGCCUCAAGCUUUUAUAAAACACCAUAGCCUGAACCUUUUCCUUUGCGCCUUCUUUGCUUCACCAGAAACGUUCUUAAUGAGCUCCUCUUCAAAUUUGGGACGAGCAGGCAUUAGGCUGUGCACAAUGCUGUAAACGCCCCUAGCCCUUGCCACACCCUAGGUGCGUACGCGUGCAUGUCCGACCUGAGUUAUCUUAUUACGCGCGCAGUUUGAUCUUCCCGUAUUGACAUCCCUGCUGUCUAUUCUCCUGCGAAUCCUUCUGCUGGUGACUUCAUCCGAGUCCAUUUUCUUGCUCCUCAGUGCAUGUUCAUCUGCUUUUCCCUGUUAAUAAAUAUAGGAAUCCCAUAACAAACAGCAUUUGACAAAACAGAACGUAAUAAUAACAACAAAACUUGACUCCAUCCUCAGUGCAUGUUCAUCUGCUUUUCCACUUCAAAGCAGCUGACGGCACGAUUCGUACUUGGACUCCAAAAUGUCUAGAUUAUGGAGAAACCAGCCUUCUAUCCAAAACACACAAAGAAGUGUAUUUUCCGUUUAUACCAAUUAAGUGUGUUGAAGCAUGUCCCACAUGGCCACAUAGGAAACUUGUUGAGGUUUAAAUCCUCUUAUAUAGAAAGUUCGACUACUAAUUGCCUUGAGGCCUUAAUUCUGUAUAAAACCAUACCUAUUGAAUUGCACACGUGCUUAAGUUAAGGUCAGUAUUGAUGGUAAUUAGUAGUGGGCUGCUGGGCCGUCUUAAAAAAACUGGUACAAAGGGCAAUUUAUAGAAGCAGUGUUGAGAUAAGGGCAAUUCAUCUGUUCUUUUUAGAAGGAUAUAUAUGAAUGAAGCAAGGUUUAUCUGCUAAUGCGGCUCAGCCCUUUAUCAAAAAGUGAAAGAUCAAAAUUACUUUUACAGCAAGAGCAAUACCAGAAGAUGUAAUCUAAAUUAUUUAUAUUUGGUUCCCUUGAAAUCCUUUUGACUGCUUCAACAUACUAUAUGCAGACAGAACCAGAACCAAGUCCAGACUCACUCGUAAUAGGUCUCCUCAUCCACAACAAUAUCCCAGCUUUCCCUUGUCGUGGUUUUCCCAUAUUUGUGCACCUUACUGCAAAGAGAGAGCAAGUUAACUUGUCAAAGAAAAACCAGAACAAUAGAUGCCAAUGCAGUUCAAAAAGUUUAUUUCCCUUCAUACCCAUUUCCGAAGUGCUCUUCUCCCCAUGUCCUUGACCAACCUAGACAUGAGAGAACAAAAACAGAGUUACAUCAGAUUAAAUUAUUGAAAGAAAAAGGUUCACUUCUGUUGUAACAAAUCGACAUUAGAAUCAAGCAACCACGCUAUGAAAUACAAAUUUAAAAUGUAACAAUUUACUGUGUCUAAAAGGAAUCUUGAAAUAAAAUAGUUAAACCCUAAACAGCACCACUGCAAAUAGCAUAAGAAAAUUAAAAUUAACCCUAAAGAAAUUGGGAGAGAAGAAUAUGAAAAGGGAAUACCUUUCGGCCCCUUUGAGUUAUUGGAAAAAACCCAACAGAGCAAAAGAUAAACAAAAAUACAGGCGGAAAGAAAAUAAAUUUUCAACUUGUAAGAUUCAUACGCGAACAGAUUGGUGGUCAAAAGCAUUUCGGAAUUCAGAGCCAUCAAGCUUUUUGAUCUGCAUGGAAAUUAUUUAUGAAGUUUGAGAUUCUUAUAGACGCUUUAGACACAUCGACAUAUUGAGAAAGCAAUAUUCAACAACCUAGUACCCAUGCUCCAUAGAAGGUUGAGAAAAUAUGAAUGUCUGGACUCUGGAGUGAGAAAGUAAAAGGACUUACCGCAUACUUCAUAUCUUCUAACUUUGUGUAGUCUACAAUCCCUGUUGUGCCUACAAAAAAGGCAUAGGACAAAAGCUAAAUCAAUCGAAAUUCUGAUGUCAUGAUCUAGGUCUUAGGAUUAAACUAUUGAAAUAACACUAUAUGAAAUAGCAGUGUAUAUCCCAAAAAAAGUAUGAAAUCUGGUUGAUAAUUGCAGAGUUCGAAGGGAUUUACCUUUGGAUUCUUCGGCUUUCAGAUGGAGUUUGCUUAUGUAUGGGAGAGAGAGGUGGAGCGGCUAGGGUUUGAGUAUGGAAGAGAUGAAAAAUGGAGAGAACACCUGUUUUGGCUGCAGCAACUCACACACUCCGGACAAAUCUGCAAAUGUCUAAAGGGGGGAAAAUAUAAAAAGAAACCUUAACAACUGAAUUCAAAGAAACAUUAUUACAUUGUAAAUAGCAUUUCACAAAAAAAAUAAAAUAAAAUAAAAUAUACUAAACUAAACUAAUUACACUCGGAUUGCAAUGCUAUCAUUUAAUAAUAGGAAUUCCCAUAACUUAGCAGAAGAUCCUGCAUCUGCAAAGGAUCCUUUAAAACCUAUUUUUUUUAACAACCCCACACCUGCAACACAUCCAGUCAAGGUAAACCAAUAGCACCCUCAUGCAGAGCUCUUCUGUGCAUAUAUACCCCUUAUAAGUAAUCUUAAUCAAUCAGUUAUCAUGAAUAUACAACUUAUAUUAAUUUUCUACAAUAUCCAACACACAAAUAUAACAGAAGAGGAAACUUUUACUUAAGCAGCACAAAAUGAUAUCCUCUGCAUUUCAUUCCAAAAUCCAUCACUCUUAUGUCUUUGCCUGCACAGUUUUUGCUCCAACAUAGCCUGCAAUGAUGAUAUAGCACUAUCAAUAAUUAAGACAUAAAGAAAGGCUAUCCUAGCUAGGUAUUAUGAUUGGAGUAAACCAACAACACCAUAAGUAAAGUAGCAGACCAAAUUUUUUUUAGAAUUGAUGUCUUAACAUGUUUAAGUAGCAAAAAGAUUACAACACAUUGGAUGUGUUAACACGUCCAUAAGCUGAUGACUCCCUCUCCGGUUUACCACAUCAUUCUUAAUGUACUCAACAAUGCAGCAGCAAUUAAAAGUCCUUGGAAAAUGCCAAGCUACUACAAUGACAUAACGAAAACUAUAUCUCACCUUACACCCUUGUUGGCAUAGACAACAUAUCCGUCCUUGUUCGGGGUGAAUCAUAAUCCUGAAUUCAAUUAUCAUCAUCGUCGAGAAUGUCAAACUGUAAAUCAACCAUGCAUGGAACAAAACUUAGAAAUUAAACAAUUAUCAAAGCUUAUGAAGAAUGCUAAACCCAACUAAUUCGAAACAUAAAGUAACCCGAAAGAGAGAAAACUUAUAAAUUUUACAUAAAUUAUAAUCCUUAACAGAAGGAUGGAACAAAACAGGUUCAUUCUUAAGAAUAGAUGUAACUAGUAAUAGGCCUGCGCGCUGCUGCGGGACUUGAAUGCACCAGCCUUAACAACAUGAAUAAGACACAUUUAACAUGAAAAAAAUUCAACAUAAUCAUGAACGAACAAAAAGGAUAGCUGAGUGAACAGUGUUCGUAAGUAAAACAGCUUAGUUUUUAUAUACAUUCAACCAAGCUGAUUACAAAAGAUGUGAUUGUAAAAAAUGUUCUGCUUACCUGAGAAACAAAAGCAACAUGCAUUUUACACAUACAAGACAUCUGAUAUUAAACCUAAAAUCAUGUAAUUCUGUAUGAAGUGGAGAAUAAUGCAGAAAGAUGGUUUUCUAUAGUGCUGCCAAUGACAAUUAAUUUCUCAUGAAAAAAAAGAAAAGAGAAACACAGGUAUAAAAGAAUAUUAUUUUUUAUAGUUGCAAACAUUAUGAAUUCCAAAAAGAAAAACUACAGAUAACACUUCAAUCACAGAUCUAAGCAUCUAAAACGUGGCAACCCAGAUACCAUUCAAGACAUUGCUCAGCAUCAUGGAUAAACUAACCUAUCUGUGUCCCUGUGCUCACUGCAUGUCAUAUACACCCGACCAACUGGGCAUAGGAGCAUAAUGAGGAAAACUUUCAGCACCAUUUUGUACCUGAAAAAUGAGGGAGGAACUAAUUAAAGCGUUCCUCACUUAGAAUAAAUAAUGCAUGCAUAAUAGCCAAAUGGACAUUGCGCAUAUAAAUUGUUGUGGCAAUAACUUGCAAUAGAAAACGUAGUUAAAAAUAAGAUAUACGAAAUACCAACAUUGCAAUGGUAUUUUUUUUUUCCAUUCGAUUGUACUGAAGCAUGCAUCUUAAAUUAGGUACUACGUGAGGUCUCUAUAAUGAAAUGGGAGAUUGAAUACACUUGACGAAACUGAAAAUUCAAAUAUGCACACGCUCCAUAGUGUAUCUUCACAACCAAAAGAAACGUUUAUAUAUACGACAUAUGUUUGACAUUGUUUUUCCCCACUCAAAUCGUCUUGAGAAAAUUUGACUACUAAAAACUACAAAACUUUGAUUAAAGAAUCAAAUAGAAUAGCAUGAGAAAGUUAUUAUUACACCAUACCUGACUUUUUUGCAUAUAAAAACACCUGUAUUUCACCUGAUUUUGUAAUGAAAUACAGAUGCUUGUAGUUCACCAGUACAUAGCUGCCUGUCAUUUGUUGUCUUCUUCGGGUUCAAGAUCCUUAUAUUGUCUGAGACGUGAAAGAAUCAGAAAUUGUAUACAGUUUGAUAAUGAAACAUGUAAUGUGAUUAUGUGACAACAAUGCACUCCUCUCUCUCAGAGAGAUAAACAAAGAUAUCAAAAACAGAGAGGCAAUGUUAAGAUAAACAGAAAGGCAAUGUCACAUUGUUUUGCAUGAUCUUGAAAAUUGGGGAUAAGGUAUUCAAAGUGCUAACAAACACGUGCAAAUGGGGAUAAAAAAGGGGAUAAAUUGAAAAAUAUAUAUGCUCUUAAUCGAGAACUUCAUCAAAUAAACAAUAAAAUCUAAUGUAAUCUGUCCAAAACCAAAGAGAGUGAUAAUUUGGAGGCACUAUAAUGUCUUGGGCAUCGCAUACUUGCGGUAUAUGAUUGAUGCAUCUGUUGCUCAAUCAAAUCAUUUGCUUGGCUAAAAAAGUUAUUUUUACAAUAAAUAGAUUCGCAUCCAAUUUAUGAGAAAUCAUGCAAAAGUAAAUGUAAAUGAUAACGGAAUCAUGAAUGCGAAUAAGAAACACAUACAUGCCAAAAAGAAAACCUACUAUAGUGUGUCAAGUUACUUGCAACAUAAUUUUUUAUGCCAUUAUCCAUUUCGCAAUACUUUAAAAAAAUUUCGUUUGAAAAAGCUUUGCUAUGAUUUUUAGGUUUGGGAAAAAUAAUACCAUAAAAAUUAAAAAACAAUUACUAAAAAUCAUGGCCUGUUAAUAGCAAAAUACACUCCUCAACAAUGUAUAUGAACAUGUGAGUUGAAAAUUUGAAAUAUUCAACAACUAAAAGAAAGAAGCAAAAUCAGAAGAAAAGAAAGAGAUACUCACUCAAAAAUAAAGAUGUAAUAAUGCCAGGCUUCUUCUCCUCGGCAUCCAGAAUUCCAUUGUUGUCUCCAUCUUCAACCUUCAAUGUAUUUAAAAUAUGAAAUGGAAAAAACCCAGAAGAAAUCAUUACAUAAAAUAAAAUUAUCCAAGUAAAAUUAAAGGAUGGAUAGAAAAGAAAUGAAGGCAGUUUAUUCGGACUUAAUUAGAGACUUACUGAAUAAGCUUGAAAUCUAUCUCACACAUCUCUUAAACUUCAACCCCUAUCCUCCUUGCCUCUGUAAUAUGCACACAUAUAGAAAAAGAAAUCGACUUUAGAACCUACAUUGAUACAUAUCUUGUGUGAGUAGGUCUUUCCUGCUUUUCCCCAAUCAUGCAUAUCAAAGAAACGAAAAAGAAGGAAAUCACCCAUAUAUAUAAUACCUUAAGUUUAAAUGCAUCCCAAUUUUGGGUUCCAACGUCACAGAAAGAAUGUCUUAUACAUAAUUUAACAGUACCCCCGACAUCGGUCCAUCCAUUCGUAUUAAUAGUUAUUGUCUGCACAAACCUCAAUUACCUUACAAUCUAUCAUUAUUGACAUAAAGUUCAUACAAUAUGGGACAUCAUGACCUCUCUUUGGCCAGCACCAGUUUUUCCAAAAUGAAAUCAACUAUUACUGCAUUAAUUAUGGGUCCAUCUGGCCAAUUCAUUGAAUUCGCAGACCCAAAAAUUUCACCAAUUAACUGAAUUUACAUACAAAUGGGAGAAGUACAAAAACAAAGACAAUGGCAUAAAUUAUACCAUAAAAAUUACACUACGAAAAAUUUAGAGACCAAAAUCCUUGUUAACAGAAUUUAUUCACAUUAAAAGACACAAUUUCGGUUCAAAAAACUAUCAAAUUUAAACUUUGAUAUCAUAUGAUAAAAUCUUAAUUAAACUCACAAUCUCAAGAAGUUGAAACCAUGUUAAGUAAAAGAAACAAAUUGAAAAAAAUUAAGAUGUAAAUAUUGAUAAGAACAACAAAAGUGGCAAAUACAUUAUACACAGAUAGGACCCUGAAAUAUCGGAACCAGCAGCAACAAAUAGAAUUAAGAAGAAAAAGGAUUAGCAGACUUAAUAAAUGAGAAAUAGGAUAACAGGUACGAACUCAGUUUUUCCACUAUGAAUAAGAGAUCCAGUGGCAUAACCUAACAUUAGGUAGAAUCAAUGCUGGUUGAUUGAAUUUUCAUUCCCUGAAAAUUCAGAAAAUGAUGUGUUUUGAUCUGCAGAUAGAAGCAUUCUAUAUAUAUAAAAAAAAAAUAUAUGGAGACAUGAUGAGGUUCAGAAACCAAACCAUGUCGGUAAAAUCCUCUUGGCAGGUUGCUCAAGGUUGACCUCCUAGCCCUUGGACCAGUCAGGAGACUUGGCCUCCUGCUUUCAAGUUUGGAAGGGAAGUAAAAGGUUCAGCCAAUAAGUAAAAGAAUUGAUUCAGAGGAUAGAAUCAAAAUUUCAAAAAUAUUAUUUGAUGCGAUUAAAACUGUUCCCAAUGAUAAAAUGAAUAAAAAAAUCCAUUGGAAUAAAAGAAAAAGAAUGAUUAAAAUUAUUCACAACCCUUGCUGUUUUUACCUAACCAUUUGUAGGAUCCAUAAAGGGCCAAAAAAAGUUUUUUACUUCUCCUCUAGUCCCAUAAAUUUGGAUUCCAUCUCGUCCAAGCAAACUAACAAUCAUUACUAUACUUUGUUUUAGCAUGCGAACACAAAUCUCAAAAAAAAUAGAUAAUUCAUUUACAAAUUUAAAUUCAAUUUUUAUAUCUCGAUAUUUGUUUGUUAAACUCAAUGAUCAAACUUCAGACUCAUGCCUUCCAAAAAGAAAAGAAAACGAAGAAGAAUUGAAAGCACUUCCCAUUCCAAGGAAAGAGCAGCCAUAAUUAGGAUCCAAAACUCAUUCUUUAGUCUCCUCAUCUGAAGCUAUAUAUAAUCAUUGAACAAAAACGUUUAACGUCCAGCAGAAAGCAAACUGCAAUCAAAAUUUCAAAAAAGCAAAAUAAUGCGCAGAUAAUCGACAGCUGCAACAAACAAAAAAUAGAAAAAUCAAAUGCAGAUUGAAGGAAAAAUCGAGACCGCAAUCGAAACUCAUGCUUGUAUGGGUAAUUAAUUGUAGAUACCAAAUCAUCAAAAACCACUUGUCUACACCAAAUUGCAUACAAAAGAUAUUGGGGCAACUCAGAUUGUGCAAUGAAAAACAAAGUCAAACUACGACGUAGAUGUCUAUCGGAAUUUCAUUCAAAGAAUGAUUAAAUAAAGACAAUGGCAUGCCAAAGAUUAAAUACCCUAAGCGACAGUGUCAGCCAUGAGCUUCCCUCUGUGAGAGCACAGGGGUGUAACUGCAAAAGAAAGCCGGAGACUGAGGGCAAACUGUAAUUUCGUCAAAAAGGAGGAAGUGUACAAAAGAGAAGUGACAGCAAUAAGCGUAGACGCCAAGGACAAAGUAAAUAUGUAUUUGUGAAUGGGGUUAAGCUGCUGCUAGCUUUGUAUAGUGUAAUAAUGCAAUUGCAAAUAGACCAAGUUACUGCUACUAAAAGCUUUUGCAAAAUCAUAAAACUCUUAACAGUUUGAACCCUACCGAAAAGUUUAUAUGAGUUAAAGAACAGUCGUACUUAAGUGCAGCAAGAUCAUAAGCUCUUGCAGCUUCUCCUCCAUAUCAGAACCACCUGCAGUCCAAAUUAACCAAGAUUCAAGGCCAAAGCAAGAACAAAUUAGUGAUAAUUUAAACUAAAGUCCCUAAUUAUUGUUGCAGAGAGAAUUCAUAUCAAGAUUAACGACAUUAUUUGAUUCGAAUGGAAUCCAAACGCAGCAUAAACAUGAAAGGUAAAAAAUUAAUACCAAAAGUCACAUUUAAGCAGCAAUUAAUAGCAUAAAUCAGAUUUUAGUGGCAUGGACCAAAAUAAUUCAGUAAAAAAGAAACAAUCCCAAACAAAUAGAAAGAACUGGAGAAACAAUUCGAAACAAAUCUUCGGAAAGCAACCCCAUCCCUCCCUCACCCUCUCUCUCUCCAAUUCCAACUUCUCCCUACAUCUCUCUGUCUAUAAUAGAUGUGCAGUUUUAUUAAUCUUUGUUGCCGAAGCGUGCAAGAUAGUGAAAAGAUUGUUUAUCUAAGAAAAAAAAGGGCACAUUUUAGAUGGAGACAGAUGGCAUUUAACAAAUUCUUCAUUAGUGGAGUAAAUAAUUUGCAACCACCUAUUUCCUGGUAGCAUUAAAAAAAAAAUUCAAUUUUAAAAAAGAAAUGUACUUUUUAGUUCAAUUUCCACAGCCAUAGUAAUUUAUGUGGACUAAAAUUAAGAUUAACUAAUACAUCCAAUCAACUGCAACUAAACAACUUAUAGUAAUUGAAUCUGUGUUUGUGGAUGUGAGAGAGAGAGAGAGAGAGUUAUCUAUUAUAAAGCCAACCUUCUUUGAAUUGGUCCUCUUAUGGCUUAUUACCAAAACUCUCCAUUGCAUUUGCAGUAAUGCCCUCUGCUUCUCCUCCUGCGAAUUAUCAUUCUGUAAGUAAAAGGUACAAAAACAUCAAUUACUUAAUGGUAGAUAUGUACUUUAGACUUUUGAAGAUCCAAUUCAUCCUGCAUCUUCUCACACUCAUCUUCAUGCUGAAGCUGCAAACCUGUCAGCUCAGCUUCAAGUUCGCUCCUCAUUGAAGUUAUUUUCUAUGAAAAUGAUAAACUGGUUUGUAACGUAAGCAUAUAACACUCUAGUUAAAUUAGUAGUUCCAACUUAAUUCAAAGCUAAAAACGACAUUAAUGACCACAAUUUAAGAAUCCAGAAACAGCCCAAACUAACAACACACACAGAGGACAGACACUGAAAGACAUAUUUUUUUAGAGAACCUAACUAAAAAUUAAAAACAAACCAAGUAAAAUUUUCAGAGUUUAAAAACAGGAAACCAUUACAAUCUUUACAGAAACCAACUAAAAUUGGAAUCUGAAAAAAAAUCCGCUCAAUUUUAACAGCCCUGCUGCAUAUAUUGGGUUUUUUUAGGCAUGAGACAACACAAACGAAGAAAACAUAACAUAGUUGUAAACCUUAGGCUCCAAUCAGGUCAAGUGUGAGAUUUCAAACACGGAGAUUUACUCCAUGUUUAAAAACUGCCAAAUACAUUGCCAACUGUUAAGAGUAUGAACUACAAAUCUAUAAAGUAAAAAGACUUGCAGAUAAGUUUAAACAAUCAACAUUCAACUUAUGAUUGUUACUGUUUUUUAGCUGGAUGUUCACAUUCUAAUAAGGUAUUAAAAGAGAUUAUAAGCGUGUGUGCUCUUAAACCACCCAACACCAUGUAUUAAUCAAAUAAUUAACAUCUAAAGAUGGAGACAUGAAACACGAAACCUGCAAUUAGAUCCCAAUCACAAAAUGCCAAAAAAAUCCUAAUCUAACCAUCCCUAUACUAAUAGCCCAUUCGAGCAGCUAUUAGCACCUAACCCGCUACUUUGGCAACCCACCAACCCGCCACACCGUCAUGUCCCAUCCCCUCUCCACCACUCACUAUAUCUCUCACCUUUCUUUCUUGACAUUUCGCUCGGUGCACACAAACACCAAGCCAACCAUUGCCGGCCUUUGUCUAAAAGUGGACAAAAUCCCAUAGGUCCUGGCAGAGGACCUAGCUAAAUCUCUCUCCCACUCAGUCGAAACCCGUAGCUACCAUUUCUCUCCAAUCUGUCAGUCUCUCUGUCCCCCUCUUCUCCUCCCCCCAACAACCCUCUGACCGAUGCAUCACCCACAGCCACACCCACCCGCACCCGAGUCAAAAAUCCCAACGAUCCUCUCCCUCCAACCCGUCAACAAAUUAUGGAUUCCGAGAAUGUAUCUUGAAAACUCAGAUGCACAUGAUUAAAAUUAGUAGAUAUUAAGGACGUGUACUUAACAGAACAACACGAAGAACGAAUGAGUACAUUACAAACUAAAUGACCGUGUCAGCUAGAUACUUCUUAAAGAACACCUCUAAUCUACCAGUAUGAUUACUCAGUUUUUGGUUUUUAAAUUAAUACCCUAAACCUUACAUUCAAACUCAUUUCGAAUGCAAACAAAAGUAAAUGAUAAGUCCCGAGCUUUUCUUUCUAGCCUCAACUCAACUCAAGUUCCCAACCUUCACCUUCCAAUACAAAGAAACUAACGCAUCAAUCUGCAAUUUCGCAAACAUAUAAUUCAACUAACCAAGUUCUGUGUCCACUCAAAUGCACAUAUUUGAGCUCAAUCAAACUUAAAUUUGAAACAAAUAGUGAUGAAAGAUCAAACAUUUAUACCUAGCUUAGGAUCCGAACCAAUCUCCUCUUUCGCCUCCCUCGUCGCCGUGUCCCCAUCGUCCUUGUCCCCCUCCUCUGUUUUCCCACCCGGCAAAGAAACUUCACCUGCAGAAACACAAAACCAAAAAUUAAAAAACCAAUCUUUCCCAUUUCCAUUUUUAUCAAUUUCCUCAAUUUUUCCCAUUUCCAGAAAAAUGAGCAAGAAGCUUAAGCAGGAAAAAAAUCAUAAUUUCAACAACCAAAACCCAAUACCCGUUUAAUCAUACACGAACGAAAAAUCUAAACACAGAGUCACAGAUUAACGAACUGAAAACCCAAAAAAAAUAAAGGAAACUGACCUUACUUAAGAACAAUACAUAGAACACAGAGAAACGAAACAAAUAAAGGAACCCCCAAAACCAAAUAAAGGAACCCUCAAAACCUGACCUAACAGUGCAACAAAAUCUGGAAAUAAUUCACAGCAAAAAGGCAGAAAUGAUGACAAUCUAUGCUAACAGUAAAGAAUCGAAUUAAAAAUUGAACUUAGCUUUUGAAAUCCAGCCACUCAUCCGACAUGCAAAAGGGAACGGAUGAUCGAGAGUGAAUCAUGGACUGAGGGACCUUACUCGACCCAUCAUUGGAGCUACGUUUGUAGCUUUUGGGGAGAAAAAAAUUGAAUGUGAAAGCUGCUUUUGAUGUGGCCAUUAAGGUGGUGCUUCAGCAACCGAAGCAAAAGAAGAAGAGGCAGAAAAAUGUGAGUAUUCCAUGAAGAAAAAAAAAAGGUUAAAAAAUCACUAAAAAGAAAAGGCAGAAAAAUGCAGGGUAUUCCAUGAAGAAAAAUUCAACAAUUAAAUAAUAUAGCUGUAAACCUUAGACUCCAAUCAGGUCAAGUGUGAGAUUUCAAACACAGAGAUUUACUUCAUGUUAAAAAACUGCUAAAUACAUUGCUAACUGUUAAGAGCAUGAACUAUCUGUAAAGUAAAAAGCCUUGCAGAUAAGUUUAAACGAUCAACUGUCAACUUAUUAUUGUUGCUGGUUUUGAGGUGGACGUUCGUAUUCUAACAUGGUAUUAAAAGAGAUUAUAAGUGUGUGCGCUCUUAAAUCAGCCAACACCAUGUAUUAAUCAAAUAAUUUAUAUCUAAAGAUUGAGACAUACAACAUGAAACCUGCAAUUAGAUCCCAAUCACAAAAUGCAAUAAAAAAAUUCCUAAUCUAACCAUCCAUAUACUAACAACCUAUUCGAGCAGCUAUUAGCACAAUUUACCUCCCUCUCUAUUCUUCCCCACCCCCUCUUUAACCAAAUAAAAACUCAUUUGUCUCACUAAAUAAAAACCUCAAAUUUGUUUUUUCAAAGCUGCAACAACAUCACUAAAAACACCAUGUAAUAAAAAUUUAAAAAAACCAAUCCAAUUUAAGUCGAGAAGCAAAUGACCAAACCUCCUAUUUUGAGGAAACAUUUUGCAUUCAAACCUAAAAUGCUUGCCUGCAAAGAAGGAUUAAAUAGCAAAGCAGACUUUCGGGGGAAAUAAAAAAAACAGACUAUUUAUAAUACAAUAAAAAUAAAGUAAUUCAUCAUCCCCACCAUCUCUGUGAGCUUUAACAGAACAGAGGAAUCAAAUUAAGCAAUAUAUAAAUUUAAGUUGACAUUCCAGUGUUCUACCUCUAACCUUGGUAGCAUGCAUGCACUGUAAGUUAUAAAGUGAAUUAAGCCAAGAUCUUCUAACUUCAUGAUUUUCACAUAUGCAUUAGAUGGAGAAAUACAAUAAAUAAUCAAAUAUGUAAGACUCUGAUAUUCAAAACCAAACAAACCCAAUUACACUUUUAGUUCACUAACCCCAUUGAAUAAAAUCCAAUUCAAUAAAAUAACAGAAAAUUAAACAACCCAAAAAUCAAAACAACCCCACUUGUAGUUUUAGCUCACUAAUCCGUUGGAUAAAUAGAUGCCAAAUUCAAUCAGAAAACAUACAAUUAACAACAACCCAGAAGAGCCAUCCGAAAACCCAACCAAUUAACCAAAAAAUACCACUUGUUCUUUUAGCUUAGUAACCAACCUCUACUUGUUUUCUGGCAAAUUUGGGGUCCUUUGAUUUCUAGACUUUCAGUAGAAACUGAUUAUACCAUGGGCUAAUAUUCAAGUACCACAAAAUAUAAUUUUACCGUAGUAAGCUUUUUGAUUCACUCCAAACGAAGAUAUUAUAUGUUCACAUAUAUAUAUUCACAACCAUAAAAAGAAGAACUUAUCUCUGGCAUUUUAAUAAAAAUAAAAAUAAAUUAUUCACCCACAGUAAAAACCGAAACAGCUAAAUUAAACCCAAAAAUUAAUCAUGAUCAUACAUAUGUAUUCCUGACAAAUGUUUAGCCCUUUAAUUAAAACACUAAAAUAAAAAAUUGCUCACCCACAGUAAAAAACCGAAACAUGCAAACCAAAGCCCAAAAUUUAAUCAUCACUAUUACUUUUUUUUUUUUUGGUGUUUUUAAGUUUCAGGGAAAAAUGGAAGCACAAACAAUCAAAAAACCCAAACAAAAAGAAAUUAACACCAAAGAGAUAAAUUAUAUACCUGACCCAGAAAAAGCUUGGAAGCUCACAUAAUGAAACCCUAAAACUCGAAGAAGGAUGCUUCCUGCAAACCAAAUACAAAAUCAGACUCUCUCUCUUAGAAAGAGAGAAGUUAUCAAGUCCUGUACUUGGUUAUAUUUGUUCAAGUUAGGAAAAAUCGAGUACAGGGUUGGUACCUGGAGCUUGAGAAAUCAGAGAGCUUGCCUGUUUGAGAAAAGAUGAUAACAACAGCUUCAGAUUCACACAGAAAACGUACAAAAAACGCACAACAUGCUCUCUGCCCUCUCUCUCUCUCCCUCCCUGUCCAUCCGUCCCUCAAAAAGUGGGAAAAAAAAUCUCCAAACGUCUCUCCCACUCAUGAAAUCGAGGAUCUGCAGCAAUGGCGCUGAGGUCGCCACUCCUCCCUCUCCCUUUCUCUGUCGCUCUGUCUCUGUCUCUGUCUCUGUCUCUGUCUCUCUCUAUCGAAGGCAUGGCCUUUCAUCCCCGAAACCCUCACUGAAUGACAGCAAACCCAAACCCACCCCAAUCCGUCUCAAACACACAGGACAAAAUUGCCCUUCCAACCCAGCCCCAAUACCAGCCCAAACCUUACGGUUUUGUUGUAAAUAGCGUGAAAUCGAGUGGCUCCCUGAUAAGCCAUAUGGACAAAAUUACCCUCUGAAAUUUUGAGAAUCACCCUCCCAACCCACUCCCAUUCGGCUGGUACUGUUGUAAAUAAAGCAAAAUAAAAACAAACGUGAAUAGUGCCUGCCCUCCCCCUACUUUAGUAUAGAUAAUUUUGCACAUUGCAUAUAUGUAGAUUAAGGACGGUGGUAACAUACCUUGUAAUUUGUACAAAUUAGGAUUUUCAUUCAAAGAACUAUAAUAUACACAAUUACAAAAAAAGUGAUUCAAACUUGUUCUUCUCUUAAGGAAAUUACUCACAGUUGAAAUUCUGAAUGGAUGAAGUUUUGGCUUCCCUUUCCGACUAUAUUUGAUUAACCUUUUUUUAAUCCAAUGAGUGCCUUCAUGAGAGAGAGAGAGAGAGGAAUAUUAGGUGAAAAGUAUUGCCAAAUCACACAGAGAUCAAAAUCUUGAAUAUAUAUGUUUAACCAUGUCAAAGUGAGUGUGUAAAGGGUGUAGUCUGCAGAAAGGGCAACAUUUUCACUGCUAGAAAGUUGGAAACUAAACUUUUACACAGAUAUUGGAUUUUAUUAAUUCCCUUCGCGAAUUGAAAAGCAAAUUGUUCGAGUAAUGCAGGUAAAUUCGAUAUACAUAUGCGUUGAUCUAUGUGACGGUUAUAAGUUAUAACUGUAUUGUCUUAACGCAAAAAUGAUCAUAAAUGUAAGUGUCUGUAUUAUGGAAGUAAGGGACUUACAGCAAUUGCUAUGAGCUUUAACAGCAGUCACUCCAAGUACCUUAUUACGGAAGUAAGGGACUUACAUCAAUUGCUAUGAGCUCUACCAGCAGUCUCUCAAAGUGGUGCAAGGGCUAAAAUUAUAAAUAAAAAGUAAUUUAAACAAUUUAACUUAAUAAAAUAUUGUAAUUUAAACAAUGCCUAUAUAUUCAAACAUCCCAAAACAGGAAUGAACUUCUAGAAAACAUGCGCAUGAAAAUAAACGGCAUUACUCACCCAUUGAGUUGGACCAUCAAACUGGAGCGUAAGAAGGAUCAUCAUGUACCUAUGAAACCCAAAGGAAAAUUUUAGCAACCCCAAAGCUUGUAUGCAAGCGUGAAUAAGUAUGCGUGUAUGAAUCUAUUCAUAGUGAAGAAGGCUACCUUAAGAAAUAUUUGCAUCUGCAGCUUCAUAUGGCCAUACAACAAAAAGCAUCGCAUAUGAUAACAAACCCCAGCUGCACCACAAAAGGAAUAUGAUCUUCCUCUCGACUUGUAUUUGCAGUUGUUACUGUAACAUCUGCAGACAGCAUACAUAAGCACUGAUUCGAUAAUUCUAAAGGAAAAAAAGUUCUUAUUCGAUAAUGCACCAAAUCCUAUCCAAAAACCAAGGGGGUGCCAUAUCCCUAGAUUAACAGAGCAUCUUUCUUUGUUCCAAAACAAAUUGCAAUUGGCUUUGGUAAAGUAGAAAGAUUACCAGAUACCGACUCUGUUCCAUUAUUCGACUGUCCUUUUAGUUCUAUCUCUCAACAUGGGAAAUACAAUAAGACAGUAAAGACAAAAGUUAGUGAUGCUAUUACAUAGUGAAAGAAAAUAAGACAUUCACAUAUUGAUAGCUAUUUACUGUCCUUUCUCAUCAUAAUCUUGGCCCCAAUAUAUAUACUGAAUUUUGAAUGCAAUGAGAGAAAUAUACCUUUGGGGCGUCAAUGCCAGAAGAGUGAGUGAGGGAUCUAAGAUGUUUGAGAGCAGGAAUUUUUAAGUAAUUUGUGUGAAAAAGUUGAAGAGCUUCGAACAGAGUGGAGUGGGUUGGCCUGGGCUAAAAUAAAGAGGAUGAACUCUAGAAAGUAGAAAAUGUUGUUAUUCAACCAAACUCAAAAGUAAAGAAACCAUACAAUUAACAUAUAAAUAAGUUUUAUAUACCAAUGUUUACAUGUACGUUGUUUGAGAAGGUAAAUUAGCAACAUAUACAGUGAUCAAAAGAUUAACAGCAAUAAACUGCUCAUUAUUCGAAAUAUACAUGAAAGUUGUCAUUCACAUGAUCCAAAUGGUAGAGGACAAAACAGAAGGAAGCAAAUAUUAUAGCAGCAUAAGUUGAAUAAUUGCAGCAAGUAAACAAAUAGAAAGGCUAGCUAGAUUACACAAUCCAGUUCUAGGUCGGACUAACCAUGUUAGCCAUCCGCCCACCACCAGCACCGUCGGCUUCUUAUUAAAAAUGUAGAAUAGAAGACUCAAAAACUGGAAAUGAAAGCAGGUAACAUUGAGUUUUAAUAACCAAAAAGGGACAUUGUUUAAGCAGCUCCAUAGCAGCAAUUAUACUUGGACGAUGAGCUGCAAAAACAGAAAAGAAAACACAAAUUAAACUAAAAAAAAUAUAAAAUUUAGCACUAAUCCAGGAUUAAAUAUAAAAUAUAAAGUCAUUAGGAUUGGGACCUUUGCAUUGAGGAAUAUCUACUACAUUAUGAGUUCCCUCCUGACAGUGGCGGAUCCAGGAUUUUAAACUCGGGGGGUCUCAAUAAUAAAGGUCAAAAAAUUUAUACACAAAAACAACAUUGAAAAUUUAAAUAUAAUACAUUUCAUUCAAAAAUCAUAUGCAAAACAAUAUUACAAAUUAUAAAAUCAUAAUUCAAGCGUCCAUUACAAGGUUUCAUAAGUUACUACCUAAGUUAUUGAUUAUCUAAUAUGGACCACUAAAUUUAAAACACCAGUCAAAUAAAACUCUUCCCAAACUCCCACUAUCUUUCUAACCAAACACACCAUUUUUCUCUUUUACUAGUUUCCAAACAUCCACUUUCUCUCUCACUAAGAACACAGCUGCCAUACCUCCACCAACCACCUCCCUCCCCAUUCUCCCGAAGCCAUGGCAGCUCCACCCCCAAAUUUCACCAACCCAUGACAGAUCAUAUCCAUCUUACUAACCUUAUGCAGGAAAUUUCACCCAUAACAAAAAUUACUAAGGUGGUUGAAAUAAUUUGGGGAAAUUUGGGCUUAUGUACUGCCCCGCCAGACGACAGAUGGAGGAGAAGUGGGUGGCACCGAUGGAUGAGACCAUGGCAGAAGCAAGGAGAGAGGCUGGAAGGGUCCCUAUUUUCUUUCUUCUCCGUGCGCGGUCAUCUUCUCCGAGAAGAAGACAGCCACUGCAACCUACAACCUGCACAGACCUCAUGCUCGAGUACGAGGGGUCCCCGGAAAAUUUCUAGCAGCGAUUUAGGAUCGCCGACGGGUCCUGGGACCUCCCAGGUCCCUAUGUAUGCAGGAAAACCUAAGGUUCCUCCUUAGGUUUUUCGAUGUACCAAACCCGAAUCCGCCGUCCUUUUUCCAAAAUUCUAACGUUUUCAUAGAGUUUUAUUAAACGACCUUUAAUUGUGUUUAGGUGCAUCGGUGGAAGUGACCUCAUUCUUGAUGGUUCGAGCGGCUUUCGGGCAAUGGAAAACUUGUGAGUGGACCCCUUCUAAACUUAUAUAUUGUUAUAAAAUAUUAGCCUAGCAUGCAUUCCAUAUUUCAUGAUUUGAAUAUGAUUUAUAAUAUGCUUUAUGGACUUUUAUAAUUAUGGUUUACGAAAUAGUUUGAUUUAUCGAAAUUACGUUUUAUUAGGUAUUGAAUUAUUGGAUUUACAUAUAUGGAUUUCUAUGGUUUUCAAAUACGAUUUAUAUUACGGUUUUACGAACAUGAAUUGUUUUAUGGAUUUCAUGAAUACAAUUUAUCUUGGAUUUAUGAGAUGAGACUUUGAGCUAGUGAGCUCCGGGUUUGAUAUGAGUUUUGAGAUAUGUUUUUGGUACUUAAUCUAGUGGGUUAUCAUACGGCACAUCCGCACACCACGGGUAUAGAUGUGUAUGGCCAUAGGACACAGAUGAUGAGGAGGAGUAAGAUAUGAUAUAUUGUAUACCCCCAGUUCACUGUCGAAAGCAGUGUCAGAUAACUUCACUAGCCAUGGCUAGUGUCGGUAUGGAUGUUAUGCUAUUUCAUACAGCUUCACCUUCGGGUGAUAGACAGUUAUUUAGCUUCACCUUCGGGGUGAUGGACAUGUACUACCUUCGGCCAACUAUAAUAGCCUUAGUUGAGUACUUCACUGACAAGAUUUACAAAUUUGCCUUUGGGCGACGACAUUUUCAUUAUCAAGCACUGGAUUUUACAUAUCUACCUUCUAAAUGGAUUUUCAUGGCAUGCUAGGGUUUUUCAUAAAGCCUAUAUGUAGUAUUAUAUAUGUUUUCAAAAUAAGGGGUUAUUAUGUUCAUAAAUAAAAUGUUUUCCUAUUAUUAGUAUUAUUAAUAUAAACUUUGGUCCACUCACCUUUUCAGUUUUUGCGCCUCCUCAGGAGUUAGGAUCGAGGCACAUGAUCCCGGCAUCAUGGCAUGUUGAUAUAGGUAUCCUUGAAUCUUCUUAGUGUAGGUAUCAUUCCCUUAUUCAUAUCUUUUUAUAGUGAUUCUUUCCUAUUAUUUCUAAUUAGUUGUAUGCUCUGAACAAAUUCCUGCUUUGGUAUAAUCGUUAUAACUACUUAUCUUGUAAUUGUUUGCAUGUUUAAAAUGGUUUCGUCACCUUUGGGCGUGGGCUAGCACGUGCCUACCCUGGUAUGUUGGGGUAUCGGGGUUGGGGCGUGUCAAAGAUAGAGAGUGAAUUUCUAGCAGAUUCAAUGGUUGUCUACAUUUUAAAAAGAGCUUGCCGAAAAGAUUGAUUCAGAUGAAAUAACAAAGGAUUUCAAUUCCAUUAAGGAUUGAAGGGCACAACUUGAAUAGGUAUUUUUCUUUUUAUUUGUUAGGUUGUUAUGACAAGAUUGACGAUGUAUGUUUCUUUAUAUUGUAAGUUGCAACUUUAAAGGUUUUCUUCGUUAAAUCUAGUUGAAACUUGAUUCAUUUAGAGUUAAAUUUCUUACUUCAAAUUGUUGCUUUUAGGCUUAUUAUUGUGUAACUUUAUGCAAGCAACAAAAAAUUUUAACCAUUUGAUUUUGUACUAAUAAUUUUAGCUUAGCAUGCCACCAAAUAAUUCAUGUCUCCGCUAUUGAAAUCUUAGCAUGUGCAAUUUCAAAGUCUCGGUUGCCAAGUCUCCCCAGGCUGUUCAGCACCCAUUCUGAAUCUUGAUCGAGAUCUAGAGCAGUGCAAGUCAAGGAGUCUUCAUUCUCAUUUGAAACAAUGCUAAAAUUAUACCUCAGCUUGGACUCCUUGGGCAAAAUAUACCCAAAUGUAUUAAUAAUUUAAUACUACUUGUGGAUGCACCACUAGUCCAAAAAAAUCACCUCUCCUUUCUUAAUCUUCAAUUGGUGAGGGUCCCAAUCAAGCGUGAAAGGCCCCGGCGCACGGUUGGCUUUAGUUUCCCAUGAUGAAAUCGACGAAACGUGGCCAUUUGUACGGUUGACACCCAAUUUCAUGCCCGGCAAAAAGGUGUCAACUGGUAAUCAAAGCUUUACGUUCACUUCUUCUUGUACAAAAUUUCCCGAAUCCAAAAGGAUAGCCACAACAGUAGCAAUACUGUUACUUAUGUUGGUAGACCUAGUAGUUUGUGGAGCUGAGAAAAACACAAUUGGAUUAGGAUCCCUCCCGCAUAAUUUUCAAGGUUUUAUUCCUGUCCAAGGCAAGAGUGCGUACAAAAUAGGGGCUUUACGGUUGCAAAUCCAAGCAAUGUUGCCAUCGGCCUUGUUGCUCUGGAUAGAUACGUAGCUGGUGCUUUUGGAACUGUCGUCGUGUACACAGGAACUGAAACUGAACUUCUCCGAUGCAGAGACCAAAGAACUUGAGGAGUUGAGAGUGUCUCCUGCUGGUUUCAGUGUGUCCUUGCACUUGCAGCAUUGUGACAGGUCCACAGUCAGCAUGCAAAAAUGAUUAAGUUGAUUAUUGCCAUGAUUAAUUAAUGACCAUAACAUGAAGUUUAAUUUCUCCAUAUGAUGAGGAAGAAAGACAUGAAAUCCAUCACCAGAACAUGAUUAAGAAUUUAAUCAAGCAACGCGUCUUAGUUAAACCAUUACAAUCAUUGUACAAGGCAUUUAUAAAUUAAAAAAAAGGGAAUAAAGUAAUAAUUGUUAGAAUAAGAAGAAAAUGUAGUACAACAAUGGAGGAUAUGCUGCAAUGACUAGAGUGAGAGAGAGAGAAAGAAGAGAGCAGAGAAUAUGACACUGCAAUUCUUUUCACACGCAUUGUUUGAUUGCUCACUUAGUGAGAGAGGAACAUCUCUCUACACUUAACAGUUACACUUCCAAACUUUUGGCAGUAUUCAAAAUUACAUCCAAGUAAUCCUAGCCAUCCAUCUUACACCCUAUGAGAUGAAGACACAUGUACACUCACUUACUUAAGAACUAUGAGACUUAGAUAAGAAAGCAUACAACCAAUUUAGCUAAUCAUCCUAGCAAUAUAAGCUAGAAAUACAACUACCACAUCAGAUCACAAUUUACACACUAACAGCCCCCUUUAAAUUGUGAACUGAUUUAACUCCAAGAAGUUCCCUCAGAUAACUGAAUUGUUCUCUUGCCAAUGCCUUUGUAAAGAUAUCAGCAAUUUGGUCUUUCGUAGGACAAUGCAACAGCUCAAUUACUCCUUGCUGCAAUGCUUCCUUUAUGAAAUGGUAUCUCCUGUUGAUGUGCUUGGUCUUCUGAUGAAAAAUAGGAUUUUUAAUGAUAGCUAUGGCUGAAGUAUUAUCACAAUUCAUUGGUGUUGCAACUAUUUGCAUUUCACCAAAGUCCUCCAAAACAAAUCUCAGCCAUGUAGCCUGUGCAGUUGCUUCAGAUGCACUAAUGUACUCUACUUCAGCUGUUGAUAAUGCAACACAUUGUUGCUUGACUGAAGACCAAGAGAAAACUCCACUGCCAAAGGUAAAUGCAUACCCCGAUGUACUUUUCAUAUCAUCUUCUGAACCGCUCCAGUCACUGUCACAAAAUCCCAUUAAGAUUGCUCCUUUGCCUUUCUUGUAUUCCAAGCCAAAAUCAAGAGUCCCUUGAACAUAUCUUAGUACUCUCUUUGCUGUCCCAAGGUGCUUGUUGGUUGGACAGUGCAUAAACCGUGAUAGCAGACAUGCAACAUACAUUAUAUCAGGUCUAGUUGCUGUGAGAUACAGCAAACUGCCUACAAUUUGUCUAUAUUGAGCUUCAUCCGUAGUCCCACUUCCAUCCUCUUUUCUCAAUUUAUCACUUGGAACCAAUGGAGUACUCACUGACUUACAGUCUUGAAGUCCAAAUUUCUUCAGUAGAGAAGAAGCAUAUUUUCUCUGAUGAAUGAAAAUAUACUCCUCAGUUUGCAUUACUCCCAUACCAAGAAAGUGAUGUAAGAGUCCAAGAUCAGUCAUUUCAUAUUUGAGCAUCAUAUUAGAUUUAAAGUCAUCCAUCAAUUCCUGACAACUUCCAGUGUAUAUUAUGUCAUCAACAUAGAUAGACACUAUAAUCAUUUCUGAACUUUUCCUCCACUUGGUAUACAGAGUUGCUUCGCUAGUGCUUUUCUUAAACCCACAGAGUGUAAGAUAUGAGUCUAUUUCACCAUACCAGGCCCUUGGUGCCUGCUUCAGACCAUACAGUGCUUUAUGUAACCUGUAGACCUUAUCUUCUUCCCCUUGUACAAUAAAUCCAUCCGGCUGAUCAACAUACACUUCUUCUUCUAGUACACCAUUCAAGAAUGCCGAUUUUACAUCCAAUUGAAACAACUUCCAUUUGUUCUUUGCUGCCAGGGCAAUUAAUGUUCUGAUUGUAUCCAACCUUGCCACAGGUGCAAAGGUUUCAUUAUAAUCAAUUCCGGGCUUUUGUGCAUAGCCUUUUGCAACAAGCCUAGCCUUGUUCUUUUGAACUGAUCCAUCCAAAUUCAAUUUAGUUUUGUACACCCAUUUCACACCAAUCACAGGUUUAUCAGAUGGUCUUUUCACUAAUUCCCAAGUCUUAUUUUUCUCAAUCAUGCUGAUUUCAUCUUUCAUAGCUUUCUUCCAUGCUUUAUCCUGUGCAGCUUCAUAAUAGGAUUCUGGUUCAACAAUACACAUGACAUCUUUCAUAGAUUUCACUCAAACUUCUAUAUCUCAAAGGAGUAUGAUCAAUCUGAGAUGCAAAAAUUGAGUCACUAGCACUUCCAGAUUCAAUGAGUGGAGAAUCUGUAAGUUGAGUCUGAGAACCUUCAGCAACAGCUUGUUCCAUGGAAUCCGAAUCCUCAUCAGCUUCUUUCAUCUCUGAAGAUUCACUUGCAGCAAUUGGAAUGUACACUUCUUUGAUCUUCUAUCUAUCCCAAUCCUAUGUACCAUUCUCAUAAAAAAUAACAUCUCUUGAAAUGAUUACUUUCUGAUUUUCAGGAUUAAGCAAUCUGUACCCCUUUUCACAAGUGCCAUAUCCAAUAAAAAUACCAAUGACACUUGUUUCAUCCAGCUUCUGUCUCAGGUUUCCAGGAAUAAGGGAAUAACCUAAUGAGCCAAACACUCUCAAGUGUUGAAUUCCAGGUUUUCUUCCACUGAAUUUCUCAAAAGGUGUCACAUUUUCCAAUACUUUUGUAGGACAUCUAUUUAGCAAGUAGACAGAUGUAACUACAGCUUCACCCCAAAGACUAUAAGGAAGACCUUUCUCAUGAAGCAUACACUUUGCCAUCUCCACUAUAGUUCUAUUUUUUCUCUCUGCAACUCCAUUCUGUUGUGGAGAGUAUGCAACAGUAAGCUGCCACUCCAAACCCAAAGCUUCACAAAACUGUUCAAAUUCAUUUGAGGUAAAUUCUUCUCCUCUAUCUGUUCUCAAUUUCUUCACUGAAAAACCACUUUGAAGUUCCACCAUAGCUUUGAAUUUCUUGAAUACAUGAAAGACAUCUGACUUGUGUCUCAAGAGAUAUAUCCAGCACAUCCUCGAAUAGUCAUCAAUGAAUGUAACAAAGUAUCGAUUUCCACUUAUGGUUGGUGUUUGCAUAGGGCCACACACAUCUGAGUGUAUAAGUUCCAAUGGCAUUCUUGCUCUCCAGAUUGACUCCCUUGGAAAGGACACUCUAUGAUUCUUACCAAAUGCACAUCCCUGACAUACACCUUCACUGUCAUGCAUUUCAGGUAACCCAAGAACCAUAUCAUGCUCCUGCAAUUGUUGCAAACUUCUAAAAUUCAGGUGGCCAAACCGUUUAUGCCACAUUGUACUAUUCUGAUGCACAUUGGUUUUCAGUACCAAAUGAUCGUUUGACUUGAACACAAGUGGAAAGCAUCUGUUCCCCUUUUGUUUCACACUAACCACUAAAUUUGUCAGAGUUCUAUCAUAAAAAAUAUCCACCUUAUAAUCACCAAAUAACAGAAAAUACCCAUGUUCAGUCAUCUGCCCAACACUGAGAAGGUUUUCUGCAAUUCCAGGUACUAACAUAACUUCUCUUAUGUACCUUUUUCCUUUAUCCGUGUCAAUGACCAAGGUUCCUUUGCCUUUCACAUCAACAAGAACCCCUGUGCCAACUUGCACUUUUGCUUUAAUACUUCUAUCAAUUUCCACAAGUAACUCCUCUCUGGAAGUCAUGUGAUUACUGCACGCACUGUCAAUAUACCAGGCAUCACUCACAGCUUUCACUUCAGUUGAUUGCUUGACCAUGAAGAGAUUUCCAGGUUCCAGGUUCUCCCACCUUGUUUCUAAAAUUUCUUUGCUCUCCCACUUUGUCUGCAAAAUUCCCUUGCUGAGCAUUUUUGUUUUGAUUGCAGAUCCUAGCAAUAUGACCAGGUUUUCCACACUUGUGACAUUUAAUCUUCCCUUUUAGCCAACAUUCACCAUAGUGAAGUUUAUCACAGUAUUUGCAUGCCCCUCCAGUGUUGUUAGCUUCAUUUCUUACACUUGGAGUAAACCUGUUAGUCCACUGCUUCCCUUUGAACUUGAAGUUCUUCUGAUAUUUUGAUCCACCAGUAUUGGUAUGUUGAUUACCAAAUUUACUAUUCUUAGAUGAGAUAUAUAUCUAAGCUAGCAAAUGCACGUUCUGUGCUACUCUCUUCAUGUCUGAUUAAUCUUAGUUCAAACCCUUUCAAUAUGGCAACCACAUCUUGUGCAUCAAUUACAUCAAUAUCUUUAGUAUUUUCUAUAACAGAAGCAAUGCUAUCAUAUGUUUUGGGUAAACUGAUCAAUAACUUUUGCACAAUUCUCUGAUUACUAAGAUCUUCUCCAUAGCUUCGCAUCUGAUUUAUCAGAUCAAACAACCUAGCUAAAUAUGCAGCUAGAGAUUCACUUUCACUCAUACGGGUAUAUUCAAAAUCACGACGCAGACCUUGUAAUUUCACAGAUCGUACCUGUUUGUCCCUACACAUACUCUUGCUUCAGAAUAUCCCAAGCUUCUUUUGCAGUUUCCAAGGUUGCAAUGCGUGGAAAAAUUUGAUCCGAUACGGCUCCCUGAAUGAUUCCAAGAGCCCUUGCAUCCUUGACCAGAUUUUCACUCCGCAACUUCGUUUCCACCUCAGUGAGUUCUCCUUCCCCUUUCGCUGAAGUGGUAAAACCUUUUUCAACAAUAUUCCAUAACUCGUGAGAUCGGAAGAUUGUUUUCAUUCGAAUCUACCAGAAAUCGAAAUUUUCUCCGUUGAACACCGGAGCUCGAAGCUCCCCUCCACCAGAUCCAGCCAUGUUAGACUUAGAUCACACCUCUCUCUACUAUUUUCUUUGCAACGAUGUGUUGCAAACACUUGCUCACUAUCUCUCACAGAAUCGACGCCCAGAGAUUCAGACCCAACAAGGCUCUGAGGCCAUGUUAGAAUAAGAAGAAAAUGUAGUACAACAAUGGAGGAUAUGCUGCAAUGACUAGAGUGAGAGAGAGAGAAAGAAGAGAGCAGAGAAUAUGACACUGCAAUUCUUUUCACACGCACUGUUUGAUUGCUCACUUAGUGAAAGAGGAACAUCUCUCUACACUUAACAGUUACACUUCCAAACUUUUGGCAGUAUUCAAAAUUACAUCCAAGUAAUCCUAGCCAUCCAUCUUACACCCUAUGAGAUGAAGACACAUGUACACUCACUUACUUAAGAACUAAGAGACUUAGAUAAGAAAGCAUACAACCAAUUUAGCUAAUCAUCCUAGCAAUAUAAGCUAGAAAUACAACUACCACAUCAGAUCACAAUUUACACACUAACAAUAAUUACAAGUUUUACACAAGUGACCAUUUAUUACAAUGGUGGAAAGGUGUUAAAAGCUUUUGCAUGACGGUGUGAGUUCGAACCUCGUCGGUUGUUAAUCUACAAACCCCGUCGGUAGUUAAUCUAACUUCUAAUCUAAUAAAAUCUAUUUUUUGACCAAAAAAAAAUAAUUACAAGUUUUACUAAAAAUUUAGGGGUGUGAUAUCUACACACCCCUUUUUACUUCUCUCACAUCUUUUUGAUUUUCGACCGUCGGAUCGGAUGAAUUGAAGAAGAUCAACGGACAGAAAUUAAUAAGGAUGUGUGAGAAGUAAAAAAAGGUGUGUAGAUAGCACACCUCAAAAUUUACCGGAAGACUUGAUCACCCAUUUGUAUGCUGACAACGGUGACUAGAUUCACAACCUCUUUCCCACGUAAAUCACAUCAUCCAAUUUUAUUUUUCUUACAACAUAUCACGUAUCUGUCAUAUGUAAGACUUUUUUGGAAUAUGGAGCGUGAAAUUGCAGCGGAAGCAUCCUAGAUUUUUGAUCGAAUAUUGAGUUUGGUUUCAUGACAGACUUCCUGGAUCAAACACACCCUAAAAAAAUAUAUAAAAAACCAAUAAGGUCAUGGUGAUACGACAUCAUUUUAAGAGGAAAGGUAAAAACAAUCUAGUUUCUAUACUAGGAAGAUUCACUCGAACAAAUUCUUGGAAACUAUGACUCAAACAAAAUUCUAGGAAUUCAGUAUUUUUAACAAAUGAUAAACGUUUAAGAUAUAUUCUUUAUAAUAUUAGAGAAAUCGAACGGUUGAUCUAUAACUCGCAAAGUGGUUGUAGCUCAAGUAAUUUUACUCCCCAAUUUUACAUAAAACAUAAAAUAAAAACAAAUCCUAAUUUACAUGGUAAUUUUUUUUCAUAGCUAGGGACAACUUCGACUAUGGUAAUGCAAUUAAUAUACACUAGUUUUGGAUGGAGAAGUUUCAAGAUUGAGCAUGGGAUGGGGAGGGGCGAGAGACUUGGAUGGAGAGUGAGGUUUUAUGAGUUAAACAGUGAUGCAAGGAUGUAUUACUUAAAACUUUAGAGACCGUAUGUUGGGCUAUAUAUAAUUGUUUAACUCAUAAACGUUUUGAGUGUUUCUAACAUAUGCUUAUCAAAAGCCUUCUCGUUCUAUCAAACAAUACGAAAAUUUUCAAUUGAAUGCAAGACAUACUAUUUUAUAUAUCACAGUACUUCAUGGAUCAUCAUCAUCACAUAUCCUUAAUUCAAAGGUAAUAAAUGAGCAUCUAGUUUUAUUUUUAUUUUAUUUUAUAUAGGGACUACAGAAGCAAGCACCCUUUGUAAAUUAAACUCUAAAACUUCUCAAGUAUCUUGAAAGGUGCCAAAAGCCAUCAGCCAACUCCAGUUGAUGCAUAACCUCCUACAUUUACAAAAACAGCGUCGCCGUUAAUUUAUUGACUUCUUCCCAGGACACAUACCAAUUUGCGAAAGUGGUUUGACUGAUGCUAAUUAGUCGAGUAAAGUACAGUCUUUUCAAUUAAGCAGAUGCAAAACACUUAGUUGAGGCACUACAAAUAUGAUUUUUACCUUUAAUUAACGCGCUUCAAAAUCUGAACUGGACAUGUAGUUUGCUGAAGCAACAGUUUCAAGUUGCUGAUUCCCACUUAUACCAGCCUCCACCGUCCUCCUUCCAACAAAAAAUGCUGGCUUUGUUGGUGAUGCUAAUCGAAAGCUUUCAUUUGUCAACAUAGAUAUGACAUCUGACAUGGUAGGGCGAUCUGCUGCAUUUUCUUCUACGCAAAGCAGACCGACAUGGAUGCAUCUUAACAGUUGCUCUUUAAUAAACGAAUUUCCUAAUGUUGGAUCCGUUAAUUCUAGCCCUGCACCUUUUUUCCAUAACUCCCAUGCCUGAAGAACAAGGAUUGCAUUUCAUUCUAAAGAAGAAAAAAUAUGAUUAUAAAUUUUAAGAGAGAGAUUUGUUUGUCAUACAUAUCCUACUAAAUUGAGUGCGCGAUCGUCAUUGUAAAAGCUGUUGUUUUUCCUUCCACUUAUGAUUUCAAGCAUCAAUACCCCGAAACUGUAGACAUCAGACUUUACAGAAAUAAUUCCCCCCACGGACUCUGGAGGCAUGUAACCACUGCACGAAAUGAAAAAGAAAAUUAGUCAGUAUACUUAUCUGGAAAAAUGCGUGUUUAGCAGUCAAAAGGGGAGGACCACGUCAAUGUGAUGCAGAAAUACUUACAGUGUCCCCACAACCUUUCUAGUGUUUGCUUCCAAUUCAUUUUGGGUGAAAAUCCUUGCCAUACCAAAAUCUGAAAUUUUUGGGUUCAUGUUUUCAUCAAGUAGUAUGUUACUAGCUUUUACAUCUCUAUGAAUUACUUUCUUUCUUGAGUAUUUGUGCAGAUAAAGCAACCCUUGAGCAAUUCCUUCGAGAAUGCUAAAACGCUUCUUCCAAUCUAGUAGUAGACCUCUGAUUGGAUCUGUCCAAUAUGUAGAGUUAAGUAGGACUAAUAUUAAUUAAUAGUAGUACUCUAUGAACUUUGACAGUAAAAUAAAAAUCAGAUAGUAAAUUUAACAAAUGAAAUCAAGUAUCUUGGUUCCUCACCAAAUAAAAAGUGGUCCAAACUUUUGUUCUGCAGAUACUCAUAUAUCAACAUCAUUUCUUCACCAUGAAUGCAAAAUCCGAAAAGGUGAACCAGGUUUGUAUGUUGGAGUUCAUAUAUAAGUAUCAGUUCAUUCUUGAAUUCUGAUGUUCCUUGCCCUGAACAUUUCGAAAGCCUCUUCACAGCUAUUUCUUGUCCCGCCGCCAAUUUCCCCUGAAUUGAUAAUCCAUAUCAUGUUUUUGCUGUCAUCUUUAGGCAAAUGAAGCUAAUUCCUUUUUUUUUUCUUACAGCUUUUGAAUUAGAACUUGGGAGCAGCCUCUCCAUAAAUGGGGGUAAGGCUAGCCGACAUUCACCUCUCCCAGACCCUGCGUAAAGCGGGAGCCUUGUGCACUGGGUACGACAGCUUUUGAAUUAGAAGCAGAAAUUUUUUUUUUUCAAAAUGUUACCUUAAACCGGUCCAAACCCUCCUUGUCCUAGCUUGUUUUCUUCAGCAAAGUUGCUUGUGGCAGCCACGAUGGAUGAAUAGCUAAAAACGCUAAAAUCAUGAUGUCGCUUAGAUUUCAUGAAGAUAAUCAUUUCGUUCUCAAUCGUUGUCCGGUUCUCACCUAUACAGAUCAAUUAUAAGAAAUUAAAGUUUCAAUGGAGACAACAAUUGUCAAAGAUGUGAUUAAUAAUCCUGUCUUAUGUUGGAUUAUGUGGCCAAGUGGCCAUAUACUUUAGAUUAAACAAACCAAAGGUGGACAACACCUUUCCUUGUUUUGGGGAGGAAAAUAGGGAAAAGGUUUUUUGUCUUGGUCCAUGGGAAGUCACGGUUGAGGUUUUGAAUAAUAAGUUUUGGUUGUAAUGAGAAGUAAGAGUGGGAUAGAAGAGAAGAAAAUAGAGUGCAGAAAAUUGAGAGAGCCGAAGAGAAGAGAGGGAGAGAAAGAAGGUACUGCUACAGUACCAUUUUCAGAGAAGGGGUUGUUGUUCCUUUCAUUGGAUAAUUCUCACUCCAUCAAAGUGUUAUUGUUGUAAUAGCUUUGAGCUUUGUAUAGAGAAGAAAUUAAUCACUAUAUUUCUUUCUCUAUUUGUUUCUUUGGAGUGUGAGUUAUUGGGUUAUUUGGGUUGUGAGAUUGCCAACACUUUGUAAACUCCCAUUUGGUUGAUAGUGGAUUCUUGGGUGAGCUCCUACUGCUCCGAGGACGUACUCUAGUUACACUGACUGUUGAGGAACCUCGUUAAAAUCUUGGUGUCUUUAAUAUUUUGUUCUUGCAUUUUAUUUGAUAUAUUUCCUGUGGGUUAGCUUGAGUUGGUUCCACAAGGGUUUGGUGCUAUCCUAGCACAACAAUUGGUAUCAGAGCACUGGUUGCUCUUGGGUACUGUCUAGUUGCCAAAAAUGUCAGACGGGCAAGAUGAAAAUCCUUUUGGAAGCAGCUCCGGGUUUGCAAGAACGACGGUGCAAAAUGCAAAGUUCGAAGUGGAAAAGUUUGAUGGCACACAAACAACUUCGGGAUGUGGCAAUGUGAGGUCAAAGAUGUGUUGGCUCAACAAGAUCUACUUGCCGCGUUGGGAGAGAAGCCGGAAACUAUGUCGAAGCCGGAAUGGGAAAAAUUAAAUUUGUGGGCUUGCUCUUCAAUUCGGUUGUGCCUUGCAAAAACUCAGAAGUAUUUUGUGAUGCGGGAGACGGUAGCAAGUGUGUGUUGUGGCAAAAAUUGGAAGACAAGUAUAUGACAAAGAGUGCAGAGAACCGACUACACUUGAAGAAAAAAGCUCUACCGCUUCCAAUACAAAGAAGGUACAAAAAUGAUUAGACACCUUGAUGCUUUUAAUAAGUUGAUUGCCGACUUGUUAAAUUUAGAUGAGGAUAUUAAGGAUGAAGAUAAGGCCUUAAUAUUGUUGAAUUCCUUGCCGGACUCUUAUGAGCAUUUUGUUACAACUAUUAUGCAUGGUAAAGAAACUGUGAAAUUUGAAGAUGUGUCAAAUGCCUUGAUGAAUUAUGAAAUGAGGCAUAGAGAUAAAAAUCAUGAUAGUACCUCUGAAGCUUUAUUUGUUAGAGGUAGAUCAUCGGAGAGGAGGUCAUCUUCUAGCAGGAAAAAAUCACAGUCUCGACCUAGAGGAAACUCUAAAGGUAGAAAACCUUUGGAAAGGGAUGAAUGUGCCUUUUGUCGUAAUAAGGGCCAUUGGAAGAAAGAUUGUCCCAAAUUGAAGACCAAAGGAAAAGAAAGUUCUGAAGCUAAUGUUGCUGAGGUUGAAACAGAUUUUUCUGAUUUUGCUUUAACCACUUCCUCAUCAUUUGAUUGUGCUACUAAGUGGGUGUUGGAUACGGGUUGUACUCAUCAUAUGACUCCUCACAAGGAUUGGUUUUCAAGCUUGAAAGAGUUUUGAUGGUGGCGUUGUGUUCAUGGGAGAUGACAAUCCUUGCACAACAAAAGGGAUUGGUACAGUUCGUUUGAAGUUGCAUGAUGGCAUGGUUAAAGAGUUGACAGGUGUUCGGUAUGUACCGAAUUUGAAGAAAAAUCUUAUUUCUUUGGGUACUUUGGAAUCUAAGGGUUUCAGGUUUCAUUCAGAUGGACAGACAUUGAAAGUUACUUAUGGUGCACUUGUUGUGAUGAAAGCUCCUAGAUGUGGCCAUUUGUAUUUAUUGCAGGGAAGCACUGUGACAGGUGAAGCAUCUGUAGUCUCUGAAAAUAUGGGCACAUCUGAUUCAGAUACUACUAGAUUGUGGCAUAUGAGAUUAGGCCAUGCCGGUGAGAAAGCUCUACAAGGGCUUGUGAAAAAAUGUCUUCUAAAAGGUGCCACGACUUGUAAGCUUGAUUUCUGCGAGCAUUGUGUCUUGGGAAAGCAAACUAGAGUGAAGUUUGGUACUGCUGUACAUCAGACGAAGGGCAUUCUUGAUUAUGUGCAUUCGGAUGUUUGGGGUCCUACAAAGACUCCCCUCUUUGAGUGGUAGACAUUGGUUCGUGACCUUUGUUGAUGAUUAUUCAAGAAGGUCUUGGGUCUACACUAUGAAGCAUAAGAGUGAGGUGUUAAGCAUUUUCUUGGGUUGGAAGAAAAUGGUUGAGAACCAGACUGGGAGAAAGAUUAAGAUUUUGAGAUCGGAUAAUGGUGGUGAAUACACAUCCGAUCCUUUCUUUAAAGUUUGCAAAGAGGAAGGAAUUGUGAGACAUUUCAGUGUUCGGGGAACUCCACAACAAAAAUGGAGUUGCAGAAAGAUUGAAUCGAACCUUGCUUGAGAAAGGUUAGAUGUAUGUUGUCUCAGUCGGGUUUAAGCAAGUCAUUUUGGGCAGAAGCAGUUAAUUAUGCAUGUCACAUCAUCAACCGGUUACCCUCAGCUGCUAUUCAGGGUAAGACACCAAUGGAGGUAUGGACUGGAAAACCUUCUUCUGAUUAUGAUCAUAUUCGUAUUUUUGGUUCACCUGCUUAUUUUCAUGUAACUGAAAAUAAACUUGAUCCUAGAGCCAAAAAGGCUAUCUUUCUUGGUUUUAGUAGUGGUGUCAAAGGUUACAGGUUGUGGUGUCCAGAGAUGAAGAAACUGGUAAUUAGUAGAGAUGUGACAUUUGACGAAGAAAGUAUGUACAAAGUCUCUGAGAAGAAUGUGAAAGAUGUCCAACAGGUGGAGCUUGAGAAAGUUGCUUCUGGUACUUCAAAUCCUAUUUCCGCUGAUGUCGAAGCCACUACAAGUGAAGAAGUUGGAGACCAUGAGGAUGUUGAAGAAGUUGAACUUGAAGAUUCUAUUCAAGUUGAAGAGCAAGUUUCACCUCAAGAGUCUAUUGCCAAGAACAGAGGAAAGAGACAAAUUACUAAGCCAGCUCGGUAUAGUGAUUAUGUUGCUUUUUGCUCUUCCUAUUAUCACUGAAGAGAUUCCAUCCAAUUUUGAGGAAGCUAUUGAGAGUGAGGAGAAGAAUAGGUGGUGCAAUGCCAUGGGUGAUGAGAUGAAUUCUCUCUUGAAGAACAAGACUUGGGAGUUAGCUAAAUUGCCUAAGGGCAAGAAAGCUAUUGGUUGCAAAUGGGUGUAUGCCAAGAAGGAAGAUGCUGAUGAGAAAAGCAAUGUGAGAUUUAAAGCAAGAUUAGUUGCUAAAGGGUAUGCACAAAAGGAGGGCAUUGACUACAAUGAAAUCUUUUCUCCGGUUGUGAAGCACUCCUCAAUUCGCAUUAUGUUAGCUCUUGUUGCACAGUAUGAUCUUGAGCUUGUGCAACUUGAUGUAAAAACGGCUUUCCUACAUGGUGAUUUGAAUGAAGAGAUUUAUAUGUGUCAACCAGAUGGGUAUAUAGUGAAAGGGAAGGAGAAUUUGUUUUGCAAAUUGAAGAAAUCACUUUAUGGUUUGAAGCAAUCUCCAAGGCAAUGGUAUUUGAGGUUUGAUAAAUUUAUGAGAGGCCAAAAUUAUUCUAGAAGUCAAUAUGAUCAUUGUGUGUACUUCAAGAAGUUGCAAGAUGGGUCUUUCAUUUAUUUAUUGAUAUAUGUUGAUGAUAUGUUGAUUGCCUCAAAGAAUGUCGAAGAGAUUGAGAAAUUGAAGAAGCAAAUGAAGAAUGAGUUUGAGAUGAAGGAUCUUGGUGAAGCGAAGAAGAUCCUUGGCAUGGAGAUCACUAGAGAUAGAGCAAAGGGUUUCGUCAGUUUGAAUCAAAAACAAUACCUUGAGAAGUUGAUUCGGAAGUUUGGAGUUCAUGAUUCAACCAAACCGGUUAGUACCCCUUUGGCUCCUCAUUUUAAAUUGAGUUCUCUACAAUGUCCUAAAAUCGAUAAAGAGAAACUGCAAAUGAAAAAUAUACCAUAUGCAAAUUUGGUUGGUAGUUUGAUGUAUGCAAUGGUAUGCUCUAGACCGGAUAUUGCUCAUGCAGUUGGCAUGGUGAGUCGAUAUAUGCAUAAUCCAAGUAAAGAGCAUUGGCAAGCAGCUAAGUGGAUAUUGAGGUAUCUCCAUGGUACUCGAGAUGUUGGUUUAUGCUUUGAGAGGGAUGACUCUGGUAUUGGUCAUUUUGCAGUUGGUUAUGUUGAUUCAGAUUAUGCAGGUGAUCUGGAUGGAAGGAAGUCUACUACAGGCUAUGUGUUUACUAUGGCUAAAGGGCCAGUUUGUUGGAGGUCCAUUUUGCAGUCGUCUGUUGCCUUGUCUACUACAGAGGCUGAAUAUAUGGCAGUUGCUGAAGCUAUAAAGGAGGCCAUUUGGAUACAUGGGCUUAUUAGAGAUUUGGGGGUUGAUCAGAAGCAGGUGGAGGUACAUUGUGAUAGUCAGAGUGCCAUUUAUUUGGCUAAGUAUCAGGUUCAUCAUGCGAGGACCAAGCACAUAGAUGUGCGUUAUCACUUUGUUCGUGAAAUUGUUGGUGAAGGGGAAAUCAUUCUCCAGAAGAUUCCAACUAAAGACAACCCCGCUGAUAUGUUGACUAAGGUUGUUGGUGUAGCCAAGUUUGUUCACUGUUUGAACUUGGCUCACAUUUUGCCUAUAUAAAGAAGGCGUUGAGUAGUAGGAGUUUUGGAGCAUUUGGCUCAGCAUGAGUUGUUCUCUUGCUAGUGUUUGGGAGUGAUGUUGUGUGCUAAUUGUGUUGGUUGGCUUAUCAUGGCGUUUUCGGAACUUGGCCAAGGUGGAGAUUGUUGGAUUAUGUGGCCAAGUGGCCAUAUACUUUAGAUUAAACAAACCAAAGGUGGACAACACCUUUCCUUGUUUUGGGGAGGAAAAUAGGGAAAAGGUUUUUUGUCUUGGUCCAUGGGAAGUCACGGUUGAGGUUUUGAAUAAUAAGUUUUGGUUGUAAUGAGAAGUAAGAGUGGGAUAGAAGAGAAGAAAAUAGAGUGCAGAAAAUUGAGAGAGCCGAAGAGAAGAGAGGGAGAGAAAGAAGGUACUGCUACAGUACCAUUUUCAGAGAAGGGGUUGUUGUUCCUUUCAUUGGAUAAUUCUCACUCCAUCAAAGUGUUAUUGUUGUAAUAGCUUUGAGCUUUGUAUAGAGAAGAAAUUAAUCACUAUAUUUCUUUCUCUAUUUGUUUCUUUGGAGUGUGAGUUAUUGGGUUAUUUGGGUUGUGAGAUUGCCAACACUUUGUAACUCCCAUUUGGUUGAUAGUGGAUUCUUGGGUGAGCUCCUACUGCUCCGAGGACGUACUCCAGUUACACUGACUGUUGAGGAACCUCGUUAAAAUCUUGGUGUCUUUAAUAUUUUGUUCUUGCAUUUUAUUUGAUAUAUUUCCUGUGGGUUAGCUUGAGUUGGUUCCACAAGGGUUUGGUGCUAUCCUAGCACAACAUCUUACUGGUGCACAUGAUUUAAAGAAAUAUACCAGCUGAUGCAAGGGCUGAUCUUCUUCGUUGGAGUAGAUAGUACGCGGUGCAAAGCACUAGAGCAGCAGCUAUAGAAAUGCCAAUCCAAACCCAUUUAUCUGCUGCAUCAUAAACAAUUAGCUAGCAACAUAUGCAAUCAGCGUAACACACACGCACAUGUACGCAUUAAUUGUCUUCAAUUUUUGGAUGAACUAGGUCUUGCAGGUUUCUUCCAGAAAACGAAGAAAAAUCCGAGACAGAGAGCAGAACUUAAGACAACAAUAACAAAGAUAGAGGUACCUAAUAAUACUGAUUCCACGCGUGUCACAGAUUUCCGGCUUAAAUCGGGUUUGCAGCCUCGGUAUAUAUCCUUCGGAUCAAGAAAAGAAAACCCUUUUGGGCAUUCGCAGGUUGGCCUUUUAUCUGGUUUGAGCUUACAGGUACUGUUGUAACCGCAAACACCAACGCCCAGUCGUAGGCAAAUAUCAUCCGGCAUAUACACCAGAGGACUAAUCCAGCUUGCAUUUCCAGUGAAGUAUUUCGGGUGAGAAUAUAAAGCGAAAAUCCCAUCAAAAUCAAGAGUUGCCCUUAUGUAGUUGUCCCUCACCGACACUCCCUCUGUCCCCUUAAGAGGGACUCUUCCAUCAUUUUCUCUCAGAACAGACAUGUCCCCUGAGCUGCUGAACACCAAUUCUUUGCCUUGACUACCUGGCACGUUCCCUGCGGUGGUCUUCGUGGAGAAGUAAGCUUUCUUGGCCUUAUCUGUUGUCAAGUUGACGGAAAUGAGCACGAGGUUUCCAUCAUCUUGCAAGCGCAGCUGGAACCGCCCUUUUGUGUAGUUAGUCUCCGAUUGUCUACACGAAAGCUUCCCAUUUCUCUCAAUUGUCUGUCCAGGCAAAACGGUGUCUGUAGGAUUGCUGAAGGUCUCCCACAAGCUCCCCGAGUUUUGGUGUUGAAGGACAAAGUUUCCGGUGUCAUUCAUGACCCCGUUCGCAACAGUCCCCAAGGUUAUUUCGGAUUUCCAUAUCUCUCCACCCUGAGGAUUGUUAAGAACUAGUCCACUGUUGGCAGUCAAGUUCAGAACUGAUCCCCUAGGUGCAACCAUGGGGUUGUUACCGUCGUAUGCAUACCAAACCACGGUUUUGUCUGGGAUAUUCGCAUACCAUAUCGAAAGCAAGAAAAGAUCAUUGUUUCCGAGGGGCGAAAAUCCAAACUCGAAAUCACCGGAUGGAGAAAGCCAUGAUGAGGAGUCGCCUAUAGUUGCAGUUAGAGAACUCCCAACUGCUACUCUUCCAUUAUUUUGGGAAAUCACAGAAAUUGGUAGCAAAAACAAAGAGAACAAAAGCAUCUCUACAGAAAGAGCCACUGCCAUUGCAAAAGCACCAAUUUUUCAACUUGGCUUAACUGAUUAGCUAUAUUUCUUAGUAAAGCAUUGGUCCUUGUUUAUAUCUUCAAGUAAAUGUGUGUGCAUGUGCCUGUCAUUUUCUAAGUUUUUGCCUGGAAUCAUUUUUUGAAGUCAAUGUUACCCAUCAGCCACGAUAUGACCUCAGACCUCGCUACAUCACACACAAUAAUAUCUCCGGGCCUACAGAAUAAUUUCUCCAAACCUACACAUAUCACAAGAAUUUCACUUUGAAAAAAAUAAUAUAAUGAACAGUUUUAUAUAUAAGACACCGAUACCGAUACUUUUUGUGAUAGAACUUAUUGUCUCUCUCAAUUCCUUGUAAUGUUGCAAGUUGGAGCAAUAUUGAUGUAAUUAGUAAUGGCCCGCUAACUUGCCUCUCUCAAAUCUCUUUUCAUCCUACUCUCGUCCCUCGUCCGUUUUAUGAUUCUACUUAAUUAAGCACUUAUAAGUGUUCCAAAUCAAACUUGUAACUUAAAUAAUUAAAAAUAUUUAUCACUACACUGGGGAUUCUAGGUUCCAAAAUAUAAUAUAUAAUAUAUAUGAAUGUUCCAAACCAAAAGGACAAGUAAAUACGAGCAUGACUCACGCUGCAUGUGUCGGCCAUUCAAGUCCACAAGUCAAAAUUCAACAAUGGGGCCCACAAAGAAAAUUUGAAAAAGUACAUGCAGAUUGAGGACGUAUACAAAGAAUCUGAAAACAAACCUCCAGGACCAAACAAAGACGACUAAGUCUCCAUUUCUGUAUUCACACAAACCAAAGUACUAACUGAAGUUUUUAAUGUAUGAUUACGUCAUUGGGGUAAAACACCCGAGGCCGAGUUGAGAUAAUCACAGGGUUGGGGAAUCGAGAUCCUCUCCGAAUGUCACAGUCUGGCACAAACGAACGUAGAGAUCCGAACCACUUAUUUUAAAUUCUACGGUCUUCAUUAGCCUAUCCUAUUGGCCCACAUCACACAAGGGGCCCAAAUCUUUCUCUCCCCUCUCUUGAACGGUUUGGAUAUCUCGGUCUGUCGAUUUUGGAUUGGGAGAUUCAAAGAGAAUUUGAUUUCGGGUUUGAGGUGUGGUUCGCCGACCAUUUGAAGCUCGUUGAGGCGUGGCCCAUCUCAUCCACGUCGGGAUAGCCAUUUCGUACCAAGUUGGAUCCCAGGUCAGGCCAGUCAUUUCAUUAGCCUAAGAUAGACCUGACAGACGAGGCGCUUGGAUAUUGCCUACCGCGACCAAAUGGACCCAUGGGCUCAUUAGAUGAUGAGUCUGGACCCUGGGGUGUGUAAAGCCCACCUCAGCUCGAUCCAUAUUCGGUCGAUACUUAAGGGAAGGUGGAUAUGGGGUAAAGGUAGAGUAAGCUCCAAGCCAUGUGGAGGUCAGUCGAGAUUGAACACACAUUCAUAGAAUCAUAGUAUGAAAUUCAAGUCCAAAUUUUAACACUACGAAACCGAAAAGCAUGCAACUCCGAAGAGCAUUGUUUCAGUCCAACAACCUAAACUUCCUUAAAAAACUAAGACAAAAACGACGACACUAGUAAACGGAAAAACAUGCAACUCAGAAAACCAUUGCUCUAGUCUAAAUGAGGUUCCUCAAUGCCUCAAGCUUUUCUAAACACCAUAGCCUGAACCUUUUCCUUUGCGCCUUCUUUGCUUCACCAGAAACGUUCUUAAUGAGCUUCCUUCAAAUUUGGGACGAGCAGGCAUUAGGCUGUGCACAAUGCUGUAAAUGCCCCUAGCCCUUGCCACACCCUAGGUGCGUACGCUUGCAUGUCCGACCUGAGUUAUCUCAUUACGCGCGCAGUUUGAUCUUCCCGUAUUGACAUCCCUGCUGUCUAUUCUCAUGCGAAUCCUUUUGCUGGUGACUUCAUCCGGGUCCAUUUUCUUGCUCCUCAGUGCAUGUUCAUCUGCUUUUCCCUAUUAAUAAAUAUAGGAAUCCCAUAACAAACAGCAUUUGACAAAACAGAACGUAAUAAUAACAACAAAACUUGACUUCAUCCUCAUUGCAUGUUCAUCUGCUUUUCCACUUCAAAGCAGCUGACGGCACGAUUCGUACUUGGACUCCAAGAUGUCUAGAUUAUGGAGAAACUAUCCCUUUGUCCAAAACACACAAAGAAGUGGAUUUUCCGUUUAUACCAAGUGUGUUGAAGCAUGUCCCACAUGGCCACAUCGGAAACUUGUUGAAGUUUAAAUCCUCUUAUAUAGAAAGUUCGACUACUAAUUGCCUUGAGGCCUUAAUUUUGUAUAAAACCAUACCUAUUGAAUUGCACACGUGCUUAAGUUAAGGUUAGUAUUAAUGGUAAUUAGUAGUGGGCCGCUGGUCGUCUUCAAAAAACUGGUACAAAGGGAAGAUUUAUAGAAGCAGUGUUGAGAUAAAGGCAAUUCAUCUGUUCUUUUUAGAAGGAUAUAAAUGAAGCAAGGUUUAUCUGCUCACCCGUAAUGCGGCUCAGCCCUUCAUCAAAAAGUGAAAUAUCAAAAUUACUUUUACAGCAAGAGCAAUACCAGAAGAUGUAAUCUAAAUUGUUUAUAUUUGGUUCCCUUGAAAUCCUUUUGACUGUUUCAACAUAGUAUAUGUUGGUAUUUAAAAGUUUAGAAACUUAAUACCAAUUAUGUGGGUGAUAGGUUUUCUAACUCUAUCACACCUCUAUCUCUUUUACUCUCUUUGAAAAUGGAUCGAUAGAAAGAAAAAACAGCAAGCUUCUUAAAGAAACAAGUACUUGAUAUAUUAAAAGAGUUUCAACUCUAUUGCUGAAAAUAUGGAAUGGAAUUACAAAGAGCCUUACGGAAAGGCAUUCUUAUACUUGCAAAAAACAAGAGAACCACACAAGUGGUUUUCAUAAACAAAUGCAAACAAAGACUUUCUAGACUUAGCUAGUGGAAAACUAUCCAUGCAAAAUAAAAUAAAGGGGUUCAAAGUCUUUACUUGCAGCAGUUUUAGACUAUUGAACACACACACACACACACUACUUUAUUCUAGUGGUUUACAACCACAUUUCGGCUAGCACAGAAGAGAAGCAUUAAUUUGGGUAAGUGCAGGAAGUAUGAGUCAAAAGAAACAGCUAGCAGCCCACUAACAUUGAAAUAAUGUUUUUAUUUGAACUUCCAACACUCCCCCUCAAAUCAAAACACCUUCAUUCCUAGCAUGUCAUGCAGCAGCCGGAAUGAUUCAAUUGGCAGUGGCUUUGUGAAGAUGUCAGCCACUUGUUCCUUGGUGUGACAAUAGAUAAGCUCAAUUAUCUUUUGCUUCACAUGAUCCCUCAGAAAAUGGAACCUGGUAUCGAUGUGCUUGCUCCUUCCAUGUUGAACAGGAUUCUUUGCAAGCUUGAUUGCAGACAUGUUAUCCACAUGAAUCACAGUAGAUUCCACUUGUGGAUGACAUAAAGAUUUCAACAGAUUUCUUAACCAAAUUGCCUCACACACAGUUAAGGCUGCAGCAACGUACUCGGCUUCACACGAUGACAGAGCAAUAAUUGAUUGCUUCUUUGAAGUCCAUGAGAAAGCUGUUGAUCCUAGAAAAAACACAUAGCCAGUUGUACUUUCCCUUUCAUCUUGGUCACCUCCCCAAUCACUAUCUGAAUAACCAAAUAAUUUUGCAUCUUCACCAAAAUUAUAAAACAGACCAUAGUUUAGAGUGCCUCUUAUGUACCUUAAAAUUCUCUUGGCAGCCAACCAAUGAGACUCAUUUGGUGUUUCCAUGUACCGACUCACGAGUCCAACACCAUAAACUAUAUCUGGUCUUGUGAUUGUAAGGUACCUCAAGCUUCCAACGAGGCUUUUGUACACGGUUGAGUUUACAAGCUCACCUUCUCCUUCCUUGGACAGUUUCAAUCCAGUUGCAACUGGAGUGUUGACAAUAUUGCACUUGUCCAUAUUGAAUUUCUCCAAUAUAUCUCUCAUGUACUUUUGUUGAGAGAUGUAGAUACCGUUACUUUCUUGCUUCACCUCUAUGCCAAGAAAGUAUGACAUUAAUCCAUUGUCAGUCAUCUCGAAUUCACUGAACAUGGAUUGCUUGAACUCACAGAACAUUGCUUCAUUGUUUCCUGUAAACAACAAGUCAUCUACAUAGAGACAAAUAAUUAAGAACUCCCAUUUUUCACCGUUCUUCAUGUAAACUGAAUGCUCGUAUGGACAUUUCUGAAAUCCAUUUUGGUGAAGGUAGUUAUCAAUCCUUGAGUUCCAAGCUCGUGGUGCUUGCUUGAGGCCAUACAAAGCCUUUUUCAAAUGAUACACCUUAUCUUCUUCUCCUUGUACUCGGAAGCCUUCCGGUUGUUUCACGUACACUUCUUCCUCAAGAACUCCAUUAAGGAAGGCUGACUUGACAUCUAGUUGAUAAAUUUUCCAUUUAUGAUGAGUGGCAAGAGAGAUUAGCAAUCUUACCGUGUCAAGUCUUGCAAUUGGAGCAUAGACUUCAUCAUAGUCCACUCCAUACUUCUGUUUGUAGCCCUUUGCUACAAGCCUUGACUUGUAUCAAUCCACACUCCCAUCUGCAGUGCGUUUGAUCUUGUACACCCACUUGACACCAAUAGCCUUCUGAUUUGGUGGGAGCUUUGUCAACUCCCAAGUGUCAUUCUUCUCGAUGGCAUGGAUUUCUUCCUCCAUGGUUAUUCUCCAACGAUCUUCUUCCACAGCUUCAUUGAAUGAGAGAGGCUCGUGGUCUACAUACAAGCAGAAAAAAUUGGUUUCUUCUUCUUCUUCUUGUCCAUAUAUCUCGGUGAGACUUCUUAGCCUCACUGGAGUUGAUGAGCUGCUUUCCUCACUGGAUGUAGGACCACUCCUUGCAAUUCUGUGCACUGGAGUUAUUGUGGUUAUUUGAGCAGGUUGUUGCUAGAUAGGUGGUACAACUUCUGGUUCUUCAAAAUCAGUGGAAACAAUCUUCUCUUUACUGACUUCUUUGUUGUUCCACUUCCAUGCAUCUUCCUCACUGAAGAUGACAUCUCCACUAACCACUAAUUUGCCAGUUAGUGGGUUGUAGAGCUUAUAUGCCUUUGACUCUUCACUAUAGCCCACAAACACACACUUUUCACCUCGAUUAUCAAGCUUCCUCCUCUUGGCUUCUGGAACCUGAGCAUAUGCAACACACCCAAAAACUCUUAGGUGUGCAACAUUCGGCUUGUAUCCACUCCAAGCCUCUUGUGGUGUCAUCCUCUUGACACUCUUUGUUGGACAUCGAUUCAACAAAUAAAUUGAACAAGCUACAGCUUUUGCCCACAAUUCUUUUGGCAAAUUCUUCUCCUUAAGCAUGGACCUUGCCAUGUCAAGGAUGGUUCGAUUCUUUCUUUCGGCUAUUCCAUUUUGCUGUGGGGUAUAGGCAGUAGUCAGUUGAUGCCUAAUUUCUUGCUCCUUGCAAUAUGCUUGGAAAGCAUUGGAGGUGUACUCUCCACCUCUAUUUGAUCUCACAGCCACAAGCUUGUGGUUGCUUUCAGCCUCUGUGAGUGCCUUGAACUCCUUGAAAACUUUUAGGGCAGCUGACUUCUCCUUGAGAAAAUAGACCCAAGUCUUCUUACUGAAAUCAUCAAUGAAGGUAAUAAAAUACCUAUUACCUCCAUAGGACAUAGGAUCUAACGGACCACAUAUAUCCGUAUGUACCAACUGCAGUGGUGCUUUUGCUCUCCAUGCAUCACCAACAGGGAAUGUGAGCCGUGUUUGCUUGCCAAGCACACAACCUUCACAUACUUGGCGUGUGGCUUCAAUCUGGGGUAGACCACGAACCAUUCCUCCACUUGACAGCAACUUUAGGCCAUUGAAAUGAAGAUGGCCAAACCGAAGAUGCCAUUUCCAUGACUUAUCUUCCAUUACACCGAUGUUGCAACUCCCAAUCCUUGUGUUCAACUUCAAUGGGAACAUUCGGUUCUUUGACAUUUGAACACGUGCAAUAAGUUUUCUCCUUGCAUUCCUAAGAGUGAGAAACAUAUCCUCCAUAUGUAUAAUAUACCCUUUCUGGAGCAGUUGACCAACGCUCAGAAUGUUGCUCUUCAUACCUGGUAUGUAGUAGGUAUCGAAGAUGUAUUCUUCUCUACCAUCCUUCUGGAUGAUUUUGAUCUUUCCUUUGCCUUCAACUGGCAACUUUGAGGAGUCACCAAGACUCACAGAUCCAUAAGGCCCAUCUUUGAGUUCGGCAAAAAACUCUUUCUUUCCACACAUAUGGUUGCUUGCACCAGAGUCCAAAUACCAAACAUCUUGUUGGUUACUGGAAUCAUGGUGUGCUAGUAAGACUGUAAAUUCCUCACCAGCAUUUCCACUUGAUUCUGCCAUGUUGACAUGCUCACCAUUUUUAUAUGAACAUUCACCUUUCCCAGACCCUGCGUAAAGCGGGAGCCUUGUGCACUGGGUACGACCUUUUUUUUUUUUUUUAUUCAUUGGCAUAAUGUCCAUAUUGCUUGCAACUGUGACACUGGAUAUGUGCCUUUCCUCGAGUAGAUCUGCAUUCUUGAGACUGAGCUCGAUUUUGUGCAUAGCCUCUACCUCUUCCUCGGGCUCGUCCUCGGCUACAGUUGGAUGAAUUCCCACGACGUGAGUUCCACUGCCCACGACCUCCAUUUGGUUUGUCAAUAUUCAACUUUGACUCCAAAGCUUGCUCUAGCGUUGUGGGGCUUGCAUUCUUCUGAAUGCGUUGCUCGUGAACUAUGAGGGAUCCUAGUAGCUCCUCUGCGCUCAUCGCCUCCAAAUCCUUGGAUUCCUCAAUGGCAGUCACCACAUGCUCAAACUUAGAUGUGAGUCAUGUGAGUGACUGGAGUAUCUUCUCCACAACUCGUACUUCAUCGAGUCUCUCGCUAUUUAUCCUCAUCUGAUUUACUAUCACAAUGAGCCUUGAGUGAUAGUCGGAGAUGCUCUCCCCUUCAUUCAUGUGAGUAGUUUCAAAAUCUGCUCGAAGUGACUGUAACCUCACUUUCUUGACUCGAUCUACUCCUUUGUAGAUUGUACUGAGUGUGUCCCAUACUUGCUUGCUCGUUGUUGCUUCUGCAACCUUCUCAAACGUUGAAUCUUCUAGACCCUGGUAUAGAAGAUACAACGCCUUCUGGUCCUUCUUUCGUAAGUCCUUGAGAGUGUUCCUUUGUUCUGCAGUAUAUGCGGCUUCUUGAUUGGCAGUGGGUACAACAUACCCAUUACUGACAACUUCCCAUAGCUCCUGUGAUCCAAACAAUGCUUUGAAUUGGAUGCACCAUCUUUCAUAAUUUUCUUUCUUCAAUGUGGGAACCUGGAGCUGCACUAAGUUGGACGCCAUAACUGCUGCACUUGCCAGAAUGGUAUUCUGGCUCUGAUACCAAUUGUUGGUAUUCAAAAGUUUACAAACUUAAUACCAAUUAUGUGGGUGAUAGGUUUUCUAACUCUAUCACACCUCUCUCUUUCUUUUACUCUCUUUGAAAAUGGAUUGAUAGAAAGAAAAAACAACAAGCUUCUUAAAGAAACAAGUACUUGAUAUAUUAAAAGAGUUUCAACUCUAUUGCUGAAAAUAUGGAAUGGAAUUACAAAGAGCCUUACGGAAAUGCAUUCUUAUACUUGCAAAAAACAAGAGAACCACACAAGUGGUUUUCAUAAACAAAUGCAAACAAAGACUUUCUAGACUUAGCUAGUGGAAAACUAUCCAUGUAAAAUAAAAUAAAGGGGUUCAAAGUCUUUACUUGCAGCAGUUUUAGACUAUUGAACACACACACACACUACUUUAUUCUAGUGGUUUACAACCACAUUUCGGCUAGCACAGAAGAGAAGCAUUAAUUUGGGUAAGUGCAGGAUGAGUCAAAAGAAACAGCUAGCAGCCCACUAACAUUGAAAUAAUGUUUUUAUUUGAACUUCCAACACUAUAUGCAGAGAGAACCAGAACCAAGUCCAGACUCACUCGUAAUAGGUCUCUCCUCAUCCACAACAAUAUCCCAGCUUUCCCUUGUCGUGGUUUUCCCAUAUUUGUGCACCUUACUGCAAAGAGAGAGCAAGUUAACUUGUCAAAGAAAAACCAGAACAAUAGAUGCCAAUGCAGUUCAGAAAGUUUAUUUCCCUUCAUACCCAUUUCCAAAGUGCUCUUCUCCCCAUGUCCUUGACCAACCUAGACAUGAGAGAACAAAAACAAAGUCACAUCAGAUUAAAUUAUUGAAAGAAAAAGGUUCACUUACAAAUCGACAUUAGAAUCAAGCAACCACGCUAUGAAAUACAAAUUUAAAAUGUAACAAUUUACUGUGUCUGAAAGGAAUCUGUGAAAUAAAAUAGUUAAACCCUAAACAGCACCACUGCAAAUAGCAUAAGAAAAUUAAAAUUAACCCUAAAGAAAUUGGGAGAGAAGAAUAUGAAAAGGGAAUACCUUUCGGCCCUUUGAGUUAUUGGAAAAAACCCAACAGAGCAAAAGAUAAACAAAAAUACAGGAGGAAAGAAAAUAAAUUUUCAACUUGUAAGAUUCAUACACGAACAGAUUGGCGGUCAAAAGCAUUUCGAAACUCAGAGCCAUCAAGCUUUUUGAUCUGCAUGGAAAUUAUUUAUGAAGUUUGAGAUUCUUAUAGAUGCUUUAGACACAUCGACAUAUUGAAAAAGCAAUAUUCAACAACCUAGUACCCAUGCUCCCUAGAAGGGUACAGAAAAUAUGAAUGUCUGGACUCUGGAGUGAGAAAGUAAAAGGACUUGCCGCAUACUUCAUAUCUUCCAAGUUUGUGUAGUCUACAAUCCCUGUUGUGCCUACAAAAAAGGCAUAGGACAAAAGCUAAAUCAAUCGAAAUUCUGAUGUCUCAUGAUCUAGGUCUUAGGAUUAAACUACUGAAAUAACACUACAUGAAAUAGCUGUGUAUAUCCCAAAAAAAGUAUGAAAUCUGGUUGAUAAUUGAAGACUUCGAAGGGAUUUACCUUUGGAUUCUUUGGCUUUCAGAUGGAGUUUGCUUAUGUGUGGGGGAGAGAGGUGGAGCGGCUAGGGCUUGAGUAUGGAAGAGAUGAAAAAUGCAGAGAGCACCUGUUUUCGCUGAAGCAACUCACACACUCUGGACAAAUCUGCAAAUGUCUAAAAGGGGGAAAAUAUAAAAAGAAACCUUAACAACUGAAUUCAAAGAAACAUUAUUACAUUGUAAAUAACAUUUCACAAAAAAAAAAAAAAAAAAAAAAAACUGAACUAAACUAAUUACACUCGGAUUGCAAUGCUAUCAUUUAAUAAUAGGAAUUCCCAUAACUUAGCAGAAGACCUGCAUCUGCAAAGGAUUCUUUAAAACCUAUUUUUUUUGAACAACCCCGCACCUACAACACAUCCAGGCAAGGUAAACCAAUAGCACCCUCAUUCUAAGCUCUUCUGUGCAUAUAUACCCCUUAUAAGUAAUCUUAAUCAAUCAGUUAUCAUGAAUAUAGUCAGUUAUCACGAAUAUACAACUUAUAUUAAUUUUCUACAAUAUCCAACACACAAAUAUAACAGAAGAGGAAACUUUUACUUAAGCAGCACAAAAUGAUAUCCUUUGCAUUUCAUUCCAAAAUCCAUCACUCUUAUGUCUUUGCCUGCACAGUUUUUGCUCCAACAUAGCCCGCCAUGAUGAUAGCACUAUCAAUAAUUAAGACAUAAAGAAAGGCUAUCCUAGCUAGGUAUUAUCAUUGGAGUAAACCAACAACACCAUAAGUAAAGUAGCAGACCAAAUUUUUUCUAGAAUUGAUGUCUUAACAUGUUUAAGUAGCGAAAAGAUUACAACACAUUGGAUGUGUUAACACAUCCAUAAGCUAAUGACUCCCUCUCCGGAUCACUACAUCAUUCUUAAUGUAUUCAACAAUGCAGCAGCAAUUAAAAGUCCUUGGAAAAUGCCAAGCUACUACAAUGACAUAACGAAAAACUAUAUCUCACCUUACCCCCUUGUUGGCAUAGACUGCAUAUCCGCCCUUGUUCGGGGUGAAUCAUAAUCCUGAACUCAAUUAUCAUCAUCGUUGAGAAUGUCAAACUUUAAAUCAACCAUGCAUGGAACAAAACUUAGAAAUUAAACAAUUAUCAAAGCUUAUGAAGAAUGCUAAACCCAACUAAUUCGAAACAUAAAGUAACCCAAAAGAGAGAAAACUUAUAAAUUUUACAUAAAUUAUAAUCCUUAACAGAAGGAUGGAACAAAGCAGGUUCAUUCUUGAGAAUAGAUGUAAUUUUGCACAUUGCAUAUAUGUAGAUUAAGGCUGGUGGUAACAUACCUUGUAAUUUGUACAAAUUAGGAUUUUCAUUCAAAGAACCAUAAUAUACACAAUUACAAAAACAGUGAUUCAAACUUGUUCUUCUCUUAAGGAAAUUACUCACAGUUGAAAUUCUGAAUGGACGAAGUUUUGGCAUCCCUUUCUGACUAUAUUUGAUUAACCUUUUUUUAAUCCAAUGAGUGCCUUCAUGAGAGAGAGAGAGAGAGAGAGAGGAAUAUUAGGUGAAAUGUAUUGCCAAAUCACACAGAGAUCAAAAUCUUGAAUAUAUAUGUUUAACCAUAUCAAAGUGAGUGUGUGAAAGGGUGUAGUCUGCAGAAAGGGCAACAUUUUCACUGCUAGAAAGUUGGAAACUAAACUUUUACACAGAUAUUGGAUUUUAUUAAUUCCCUCCGCGAAUUGAAAAGCAAAUUGUUCGAGUAAUGCAGGUAAAUUCGAUAUACAUAUGCGUUGAUCUAUGUAAGACAGUUAUAAGUUAUAACUGUAUCGUCUUAACACAAAAAUGAUCAUAAAUGUAAGUGUCUGUAUUAUGGAAGUAAGGGACUUACAGCAAUUGCUAUGAGCUAUAACAGCAGUCACUCCAAGUACCCUAUUAUGGAAGUAAGGGACUUAUAUCAAUUGCUAUGAGCUCUACCAGCAGUCUCUCAAAGUGGUGCAACGGCUAAAAUUAUAAAUAAAAAGUAAUUUAAACAAUUUAACUUAAUAAAAUAUUGUAAUUUAAACAAUGCCUAUAUAUUCAAACAUCCCAAAACAGGAAUGAACUUCCAAAAAACAUGCGCAUGAAAAUAAACGGCAUUACUCACCCAUUGAGUUGGACCAUCAAACUGGAGCGUAAGAAGGAUCAUCAUGUACCUAUGAAACCCAAAGGAAACUUUUAGCAACCCCAAAGCUUGUAUGCAAGCGUGAAUAAGUAUGCGUGUAUGAAUCUAUUCAUAGUGAAGAAGGCUACCUUAAGAAAUAUUUGCAUCUGCAGCUUCAUAUGGCCAUACAACAAAAAGCAUCGCAUAUGAUAACAAACCCCAGCUGCACCACAAAAGGAAUAUGAUCUUCCUCUCAACUUGUAUUUGCAGUUGUUACUGUAACAUCUGCAGACAGCAUACAUAAGCACUGAUUCGAAAAUUCUAAAGGAAAAAAAGUCCUUAUUCGAUAAUGCACCAAAUCCUAUCCGAAAACCAAGGGGGUGCCAUAUCCCUAGAUUAACAGAGCAUCUUUCUUUGUUCCAAAACAAAUUGCAAUUGGCUUUGGUAAAGUAGAAAGAUUACCAGAUACCGACUCUGUUCCAUUAUUCGACUGUCCUUUUAGUUCUGUCUCUCAACAUGGGAAAUACAAUAAGACAGUAAAAACAAAAGUUAGUGAUGCUAUUACAUAGUGAAAGAAAAUAAGACAUUCACAUAUUGAUAGCUAUUUACUGUCCUUUCUCAUCAUAAUCUUGGCCCAUAUAUAUAUAUAUAUAUAUUGAAUUUUGAAAGCAAUGAGAGAAAUAUACCUUUGGGGCGUCACUGCCAGAAGGGUGAGUGAGGGAUCUAAGAUGUUUGAGAGCAGAAAUUUUUAAGUAAUUUGUGCGAAAAAGUUGAAGAGCUUCGAACAGAGUGGAGUGGGUUGGCCUGGGCUAAAAUAAAGAGGAUGAACUCUAGAAAGUAGAAAAUGUUGUGUUCAACCAAACUCAAAAGUAAAGAAACCAUACAAUUAACAUAUAAAUAAGUUUUAUAUACCAAUGAUUACAUGUACGUUGUUUGAGAAGGUAAAUUAGCAACAUAUACAGUGAUCAAAAGAUUAACAGCAAUAAACUGCUCAUUAUUCAAAAUAUACAAGAAAGUUGUCAUUCACAUGAUCCAAAUGGUAGAGGACAAAACAGAAGGAAGCAAAUAUUAUAGCAGCAUAAGUUGAAUAAUUGCAGCAAGUAAACAAAUAGAAAGGCUAGCUAGAUUACACAAUCCAGUUCUAGGUCAGACUAACCAUGUUAGCCAUCCGCCCACCACCAUCACCGUCGGCUUCUUAUUAAAAAUGUAGAAUAGAAGACUCAAAAACUGGAAAUGAAAGUAGGUAACAUUGAGUUUUAAUAACCAAAAAGGGACACUGUUUAAGCAGCUCCACAACAGCAAUAAUACUUGGACGAUGAGCUGCAAAAACAGAAAAGAAAACACAAAUUAAACUAAAAAAAUAUAAAAUUUAACACUAAUCCAAGGAUUAAAUAUCAAAUAUAAAGUCAUUAGGAUUGGGACCUUUGCAUUGAGGAAUAUCUACUACAUUAUGAGUUCCCUCCUGAUAAAGCCCAAUCAGGGGGUUUUCCGAUGAGCCAAGAACGGCUAACUUUGCGUGACACCGCCAUCCCCACUAACACCAAACCAAGAUAAUAUCAAGAUCAAAACUAACCAAUACCAGAAAGAUUUUUUUAUUUAAAUUUUAAGAAAAGACCUAAACUUUACGAAAUUAAGGGGGAAAACAAAGUUAAGUAAAGCACCAAUUUGCAACUGUCAAAAGUGAAAUAUGAGACUGCAACUGCCUAGAAGAACUCCGUGGCCUCAUCGACGAUGACCGGAUGGUGGAGAUUGAACUGGUGCGUACACCUGGAGCACCUGAUUAUACACCGAACAUAGAACAAAAUUUAAAUCAAGUCGAACAAUAAUUGUGAGAAAAUAAACUAAAAGGGAUUUGAGCUGAGAGUUACGAUUCGAAGUGCGGCAAUGGAGGGUGCAGGUUAGCGGCGGCAGAGGAGGGGUUGAGCUUGGGCUCAGUGAGAGAGAAGGUAGUGCUAAAGGCACUAUUUGUCAGCCAAUCAUGUAAUAGGCACACCACUUUUCUAUAUAUGACAAAAAUUAGGAGUUCUCCAAACUAAAGCAUGAAAUUAGAUUCACCAGAGAAUUGGAAAUUGCACAUGAAAAAAAUAAUAUACAUCAUGCCAUUUGUGAUUUUGAAAGAAAAAAAGAAUACCUUCUUCAGGUCCGCUUUAGUAGGUGGAGGCUCUUGAUAGAAGAUUGGCAUUGGAGUCGUUUUACAAAUCAGUUUCUUCCUGAACAUCCUAAUGUCAGCUUCUAGAGUUUCCUGUAAAAGAACAGACAACAUUCAUAAUAAGAAAAUCUCUCUCUGCAAUCGUAGAAAUCCCUCGGGUUUCAGGAAGCAAAUGGAAAACGAAAUGCUUUUCUCCCGUAUCUCUCUCUCUCACCUCUGUCCCAUCUCUCUGUCUCCAAAUCGCAGAAAAGAAACCCUAAACAAAUCCCUGAAAUCCCUCGCCUAAAUCCUCCCACAUUUCUCUCGGACACCCCCCUCUUUCUCUCUGCAAACCCUAAACCAAAUCUCCUAAAUCCUAUCUUUGACACCCCACAUACAGCCAAGAUAUUAAAGCAAUCUCUAUAUAAUACUUUGGAACAAUGAAGAAAAAUGGUACUUACUUGUUCCUUGUCCAAAACCGUUGGUGCUGCCGCACAUUGUUAUCAAUUGUGGGUUGAUCAAAUCCUUCAUGGCUUAGACUGCAUGAAGAAUUAGAAACUAAAAGAUGAAUAUAUGCCGUAAAUCAUCAUAUAAAUGUAAGUGCAUUUAAAAAAAAAAAGGGAAUGACAAAAUUGAAUUCUAUUUCAUCAGUAUGUAACUGCAUGAAAAGUUACUUUGAAUGAAGACUCGAUCAAUUUCCCCAAAGUCAUUGUUAACUGAAAAUCAAUAUCAAACCCAUAAAUACCACAUUGAAUUUGACCAAGUUAAAGGAUAAAGGCACUCGCAUCAUCGUAUUACUCUUUGGGAAGAUCUUCUAAUAAUGGUUCUUCCUUUUUCUUGCUCUUCCUUAGAACUGCCAUAAAAACCCCAGAGAAGCAUACAAAUUCAGAAAAGAAAAGGUUCAAAACUGCCAUAAAAAAAAUCUAGAAAGCAUACAAAUUUAUCAGAAAGAAAAGUUCAAAUUACAAAUACCAAAUGAUGUGAGUAAGUAGUGAGAGGUUGUGUUAGGCACCUGAAACACGUUUUGGUUUCAAUUGAAAGGGCCAGAGACAACAUCCACAUUCUUUUUUCUUGGGUGAACUAACCAAAUCAUAUUAUAUACUAAAACGACAUAAAAAAUCAUUCACAAACUCACAACAAAAUAGAACAAAAAGAUUCACAAAAGAUUUGGGAGUUGAGACGCUAACAAAAACAUUUCUUUUCUAAACAAAUACACAACCGCUAAUCUGGGUUUGGUCAGUUUGACUAAAACGGUGCGCUAUUUUGCAUCUAAAUAUAGUAUAUCGCUUAAAUAAAAUUAAUAAAAAAUACACAUCCAAUGCUUUUAGUCUAAAGCUAGAAUUAGGAAUAACUGAGGAAGUUAAUGAAGGCAAAGCAGAGGGUAGGAAGCAGAACAUACCAAGAGACCAGUAGGCCAUCGGGGCCGGUCUGCCGAUGAACGCUGUGUACUGGUUGACAACGCCCAACGGAGUUGGCGCAGAAAAGAAGUAAAAGUCGAAACCACCCUCAAUGACCUUGUAGGUGAGAGAAGUCCCUCUGUAGAACACAUCCAUGCCAUUGCUGUUGAGCAGCAAAACGGAGUGCGCGUAAGCCUCGUUGCCCACAUUCCGGAGAUCCAUGUAAACUGGGUGGGACCCGUACAAAUCAGUGUUGAGAUUGAUCGCUGAGAAGUUAGUGGUGAAGAGGAUGUAUUUAUCGUUCGGGUAGAGCUUGAUCCCGUGCGGCUGAGAGUUCUCUUCGAGGCCGUACAAGGAGGAGUAUUUCGGCACUCGGGUGGAUAUCUUGAGGUCUAGUCCUUAAACACCAGUACUAGUCCAAUAAACCACUCCGCUUUUAUUGAUUUUCAAUUCAUGUUCAUUCGGGUCCCAAACAAGACUGAACGGCCCCAGAGCCGGGUUGUAGGUAUCUACAUAUGAUAUAAGUGCCCACGUGGCCAUCAUUGCGGUUGACACCUAACUUCAUACCCGGUAAAAAUGUGUAUCCAGGAUAAUCACUUCAGCCGAUCGAGGGUGAUUUGAGGUGUUUUCUAGCUGAAUUGGACUUCGACCCAAGUAUGAAAGUUGUUCCUCUUAUCGAGAUCUUCAUUCAUGUAAAAUUUGGGAAUUUUAGAAUUGUUGAAUUCUCCGGCGAGUCAGGGCUACCAGCCGCCACGUGUUUCGGCGCAUGGCCCUUUGGCCGCUGUCCCGUGGCGACUCGUGCGGUGAUGUAUGCAGGAAAACCUAAGGUUCCUCCUUAGGUUUUUCAAUGUACCAAACCCGAAUCCGCCGUCCUUUUUUCAAAAUUCUAACGUUUUCAUAGAGUUUUAUUAAACGACCUUUAAUUGUGUUUAGGUGCAUCGGUGGAGGUGACCUCAUUCUUGAUGGUUCGAGCGGCUUUCGGGCAAUGGAAAACUUGUGAGUGGACCCCUUCUAAACUUAUAUAUUGUUAUAAAAUAUUAGCCUAGCAUGCAUUCCAUAUUUCAUGAUUUGAAUAUGAUUUAUAAUAUGCUUUAUGGACUUUUAUAAUUAUGGUUUACGAAAUAGUUUGAUUUAUCGAAAUUACGUUUUAUUAGGUAUUGAAUUAUUGGAUUUGCAUAUAUGGAUUUCUAUGGUUUUCAAAUACGAUUUAUAUUACGGUUUUACGAACAUGAAUUAUUUUAUGGAUUUCAUGAAUACAAUUUAUCUUGGAUUUAUGAGAUGAGAAUUUGAGCUAGUGAGCUCCGGGUUUGAUAUAAGUUUUGAGAUAUGUUUUUGGUACUUAUCUAGUGGGUUAUCAUACGGCACAUCCGCACACCACGGGUAUAGAAUUGUAUGGCCAUAGGACACAGAUGAUGAGGAGGAGUAAGAUAUGAUAUAUUAUAUACCCCCAGUUCACUGUCGAAAGUAGUGUCAGAUAACUUCACUAGCCAUGGCUAGUGUCGGUAUGGAUGUUAUGCUAUUUCAUACAGCUUCACCUUCGGGUGAUAGACAGGUUAUUUAGCUUCACCUUCGGGGUGAUGGACAUGUACUACCUUCGGCCAACUAUGAUAGCCUUUGUUGAGUACUUCACUGACAAGAUUUACAAAUUUGCCUUCGGGCGACGGCAUUUUCAUUAUCAAGCAUUGGAUUUUACAUAUCUACCUUCUAAAUGGAUUUUCAUGGCAUGCUAGGGUUUUUCAUAAAGCCUAUAUGUAGUAUUAUAUAUGUUUUCAAAACAAGGGGUUAUUAUGUUCAUAAAUAAAAUGUUUUCCUAUUAUUAGUAUUAUUAAUAUAAACUUUGGUCCACUCACAUUUUCAGUUUUUGCGCCUCCACAGGAGUUAGGAUCGAGGCACAUGAUCCCGGCAUCAUGGCAUGUUGAUAUAGGUAUCCUUGAAUCUUCCCAGUGUAGAUAUCAUUCCCUUAUUCAUAUCUUUUUAUAGUGAUUCUUCCCUAUUAUUUCUAAUUAGUUGUAUGCUCUAAACACAUUCCUGCUUUGGUAUAAUCGUUAUAACUACUUAUCUUGUAAUUGUUUGCAUGUUUAAAAUGGUUUCGUCACCCUUGGGCGUGGGCUAGCACGUGCCUACCCUGGUAUGUUGGGAUAUCGGGGUUGGGGCAUGUCAAAGAUAGAGAGUGAAUUUCUAGCAGAUUCAAUGGUUGUCUACAUUUUAAAAAGAGCUUGCCGAAAAGAUUGAUUCAGAUGAAAUAACAAAGGAUUUCAAUUCCAUUAAGGAUUGAAGGGCACAACUUGAAUAGGUAUUUUUCUUUUUAUUUGUUAUGUUGUUAUGACAGGAUUGACGAUGUAUGUUUAUUUAUAUUGUAAGUUGCAACUUUAAAGGUUUUCUUUGUUAAAUCUAGUUGAAACUUGAUUCAUUUAGAGUUAAAUUUCUUACUUCAAAUUGUUGCUUUUAGGCUUAUUAUUGUGUAACUUUAUGCAAGCAACAAAAAAUUUUAACCAUUUGAUUUUGUACUAAUAAUUUUAGCUUAGCAUGCCACCAAAUAAUUCAUGGCUCCGCUAUAGAAAUCUUAGCAUGUGCAAUUUCAAAGUCUCGGUUGCCAAGUCUCCCCAGGCUGUUCAGCACCCAUUCUGAAUCUUGAUCGAGAUCUAGAGCAGUGCAAGUCAAGGAGUCUUCAUUCUCAUUUGAAACAAUGCUAAAAUUAUACCUCAGCUUGGACUCCUUGGGCAAAAUAUACCCAAAUGUAUUAGUACUACUUGUGGAUACACCACUAGUCCAAAAAAAUCACCUCUCCUUUCUUAAUCUUCAAUUGGUGAGGGUCCCAAUCAAGCGUGAAAGGCCCCGGCGCACGGUUGGCUUUAGUUUCCCAUGAUGAAAUCGACGAAACAUGGCCGUUUGUACGGUUGACACCCAAUUUCAUGCCCGGUAAAAAGGUGUCAACUGGUAAUCAAAGCUUUACGUUCACUUCUUCUUGUACAAAAUUUCCCGAAUCCAAAAGGAUAGCCACAACAGUAGCAAUACUGUACUUAUGUUGGUAGACCUAGUAGUUUGUGGAGCUGAGAAAAACGCAAUUGGAUUAGGAUCCCCCCCGCAUAAUUUUCAAGGUUUUAUUCCUGUCCAAGGCAAGAGUGCGUACAAAAUAGGGGCUUUACGGUUGCAAAUCCAAGCAAUGUUGCCAUCGGCCUUGUUGCUCUGGAUAGAUACGUAGCUGGUGCUUUUGGAACUGUCGUCGUGUACACAGGAACUGAAACUGAACUUCUCCGAUGCAGAGACCAAAGAACUUGAGGAGUUGAGAGUGUCUCCUGCUGGUUUCAGUGUGUCCCUUGCACUUGCAGCAUUGUGACAGGUCCACAGUCAGCAUGCAAAAAUGAUUAAGUUGAUUAUUGCCAUGAUUAAUUAAUGACCAUAACAUGAAGUUUAAUUUCUCCAUAUGAUGAGGAAGAAAGACAUGAAAUCCAUCACCAGAACAUGAUUAAGAAUUUAAUCAAGCAACGCGUCUUAGUUAAACCGUUACAAUCUUUGUACAAGGCAUUUAUAAAUUAAAAAAAAAGGGAAUAAAGUAAUAAUUACAAGUUUUACACAAGUGACCAUUUAUUACAAUGGUGGAAAGGUGUUAAGCUUUUGCAUGACGGUGUGAGUUCGAACCUCGUCGGUAGUUAAUCUAACUUAUAAUCUAAUAAAAUCUAUUUUUUGACCAAAAAAAAAUAAUUACAAGUUUUACUAAAAAUUUAGGGGUGUGAUAUCCACACACCCCUUUUUACUUCUCUCACACAUUUUUGAUUUCGACCGUCAAAUCGGAUGAGUUGAAGAAGAUCAACGGACAGAAAUUAACAAGGGAUGUGUGAGAAGUAAAAAGGGGUGUGUGGAUAGCACACCCCAAAAUUUACCGGAAGACUUGAUCACCCAUUUGUAUGCUGACAACGGUGACUAGAUUCACAACCUCUUUCCCACGUAAAUCACAUCAUCCAAUUUUAUUUUUCUUACAACAUAUCACGCAUCUGUCAUAUGCAAGACUUUUUUUUUUGUAUAACAUGAAAAAGAAGACUUUUUUGGAAUAUGGAGAGUGAAAUUGCAGCGGAAGCAUCCUAGAUUUUUGAUCGAAUAUUGAGUUUGGUUUGAUGACAGACUUCCUGGAUCAAACACACCCUAAAAAAUAUAUAUAAAAAACCAAUAAGGUCAUGUGAUACGACAUCAUUUCAAGAGGAAAGGUAAAAACAAUCUAGUUUCUAUACUAGGAAGAUUCACUCGAACAAAUUCUUGGAAACUAUGACUCAAACAAAAUUCUAGGAAUUCAGUAUUUUUAACAAAUGAUAAGCGUUUAAGAUAUAUUCUUUAUAAUAUUAGAGAAAUCGAACGGUUGAUGUAUAACUCGCAAAGUGGUUGUAGCUCAAGUAAUUUUACUCCCCAAUUUUACAUAAAACAUAAAAUAAAAACAAAUCCUAAUUUACAUGGUAAUUUUUUUUCAUAGCUAGGGACAACUUCGACUAUGGUAAUGCAAUUAAUAUACACUAGUUUUGGAUGGAGAAGUUUCAAGAUUGAGUAUGGGAUGGGGAGGGGCGAGAGACUUGGAUGGAGAGGUGAGGUUUUAUGAGUUAAACAGUGAUGCAAGGAUGUAUUACUUAAAACUUUAGAGACCGUAUGUUGGGCUAUAUAUAAUAUACGUUCCAUGGAUAAUUGUUUAACUCAUAAACGUUUUGAGUGUUUCUAACAUAUGCUUAUCAAAAGCCUUCUCGUUCCAUCAAACAAUACGAAAAUUUUCAAUUGAAUGAAAGACAUACUAUUUUAUAUAUCACAGUACUUCAUGGAUCAUCAUCAUCACAUAUCCUUAAUUCAAAGGUAAUAAAUGAGCAUCUAGUUUUAUUUUAAUUUUAUUUUAUAUAGGGACUACAGAAGCAAGCACCCUCUGUAAAUUAAACUCUAAAACUUCUCAAGUAUCUUGAAAGGUGCCAAAAGCCAUCAGCCAACUCCAGUUGAUGCAUAACCUCCUACAUUUACAAAAACAGCGUCGCCGUUAAUUUAUUGACUUCUUCCCAGGACACAUACCAAUUUGCGAAAGUGGUUUGACUGAUGCUAAUUAGUCGAGUAAAGUACAGUCUUUUCAAUUAAGCAGAUGCAAAACACUUAGUUGAGGCACUACAAAUAUGAUUUUUACCUUUAAUUAACGCGCUUCAAAAUCUGAACUGGACAUGUAGUUUGCUGAAGCAACAGUUUCAAGUUGCUGAUUCCCACUUAUACCAGCCUCCACCGUCCUCCUUCCAACAAAAAAUGCUGGCUUUGUUGGUGAUGCUAAUCGAAAGCUUUCAUUUGUCAACAUAGAUAUGACAUCUGACAUGGUAGGGCGAUCUGCUGCAUUUUCUUCUACGCAAAGCAGACCGACAUGGAUGCAUCUUAACAGUUGCUCUUUAAUAAACGAAUUUCCUAAUGUUGGAUCCGUUAAUUCUAGCCCUGCACCUUUUUUCCAUAACUCCCAUGCCUGAAGAACAAGGAUUGCAUUUCAUUCUAAAGAAGAAAAAUAUGAUUAUAAAUUUUAAGAGAGAGAUUUGUUUGUCAUACAUAUCCUACUAAAUUGAGUGCGCGAUCGUCAUUGUAAAAGCUGUUGUUUUUCCUUCCACUUAUGAUUUCAAGCAUCAAUACCCCGAAACUGUAGACAUCAGACUUUACAGAAAUAAUUCCCCCCACGGACUCUGGAGGCAUGUAACCACUGCACGAAAUGAAAAAGAAAAUUAGUCAGUAUACUUAUCUGGAAAAAUGCGUGUUUAGCAGUCAAAAGGGGAGGACCACGUCAAUGUGAUGCAGAAAUACUUACAGUGUCCCCACAACCUUUCUAGUGUUUGCUUCCAAUUCAUUUUGGGUGAAAAUCCUUGCCAUACCAAAAUCUGAAAUUUUUGGGUUCAUGUUUUCAUCAAGUAGUAUGUUACUAGCUUUUACAUCUCUAUGAAUUACUUUCUUUCUUGAGUAUUUGUGCAGAUAAAGCAACCCUUGAGCAAUUCCUUCGAGAAUGCUAAAACGCUUCUUCCAAUCUAGUAGUAGACCUCUGAUUGGAUCUGUCCAAUAUGUAGAGUUAAGUAGGACUAAUAUUAAUUAAUAGUAGUACUCUAUGAACUUUGACAGUAAAAUAAAAAUCAGAUAGUAAAUUUAACAAAUGAAAUCAAGUAUCUUGGUUCCUCACCAAAUAAAAAGUGGUCCAAACUUUUGUUCUGCAGAUACUCAUAUAUCAACAUCAUUUCUUCACCAUGAAUGCAAAAUCCGAAAAGGUGAACCAGGUUUGUAUGUUUGAGUUCAUAUAUAAGUAUCAGUUCAUUCUUGAAUUCUGAUGUUCCUUGCCCUGAACAUUUCGAAAGCCUCUUCACAGCUAUUUCUUGUCCCGUCGCCAAUUUCCCCUGAAUUGAUAAUCCAUAUCAUGUUUUUGCUGUCAUCUUUAGGCAAAUGAAGCUAAUUCCAUUUUUUUUCUUACAGCUUUUGAAUUAGAAGCAGAAAUAUUUUUUUUUCAAAAUGUUACCUUAUAAACCGGUCCAAACCCUCCUUGUCCUAGCUUGUUUUCUUCAGCGAAGUUUCUUGUGGCAGCCACGAUGGAUGAAUAGCUAAAAACGCUAAAAUCAUGAUGUCGCUUAGAUUUCAUGAAGAUAAGCAUUUCGUUCUCAAUCUCUGGCCAGUUCUCACCUAUACAGAUCAAUUAUAAGAAAUUAAAGUUUCAAUGGAGACAACAAUUGUCAAAGAUGUGAUUAAUAAUCCUGUCUUACUGGUGCACAUGAUUUAAAGAAAUAUACCAGCUGAUGCAAGGGCUGAUCUUCUUCGUCGGAGUAGAUAGUACGCGGUGCAAAGCACUAGAGCAGCAGCUAUAGAAAUGCCAAUCCAAACCCAUUUAUCUGCUGCAUCAUAAACAAUUAGCUAGCAACAUAUGCAAUAAGUGUAACACACACGCACAUGUACGCAUUAAUUGUCUUCAAUUUUUGGAUGAACUAGGUCUUGCAGGUUUCUUCCGGAAAACGAAGAAAAAUUCGAGACAGAGAGCAGAACUUAAGACAACAAUAACAAAGAUAGAGGUACCUAAUAAUACUGAUUCCACGCGUGUCACAGAUUUCCGGCUCAAAUCGGGUUUGCAGCCUCGGUAUAUAUCCUUCGGAUCAAGAAAAGAAAACCCUUUUGGGCAUUCGCAGGUUGGCCUUUUAUCUGGUUUGAGCAUACAGGUACUGUUGUAACCGCAAACACCAACGCCCAGUCGUAGGCAAAUAUCAUCCGGCAUAUACACCAGAGGACUAAUCCAACUUGCAUUUCCCGUGAAGUUUUUCGGGUGAGAAUAUAAAGCGAAAAUCCCAUCAAAAUCAAGAGUUGCCCUUAUGUAGUUGUCCCUCACCGACACUCCCUCUGUCCCCUUAAGAGGAACUCUUCCAUCAUUUUCUCUUAGAACAAACAUGUCCCCUGAGCUGCUGAACACCAAUCGUUUGCCUUGACUACCUGGCACGUUCCCUGAGGUGGUCUUCGUGGAGAAGUAAGGGAUGUUGGCAUUAUCUGUUGUGACGGAAAUGAGCACGAGGUUUCCAUCACCUUGCAAGCUCAGCUGGAACCGCCCUUUUGUGUAGUUAGUCUCCGAUUGUCUACACGAAAGCGUCCCGUUUCUCUCAAUUGUCUGUCCAGGCAAAACGGUGUCUGUAGGACUGCUGAAGGUCUCCCACAAGCUCCCCGAGUUUUGGUGUUGAAGGACAAAGUUUCCGGUGUCAUUCAUGACCCCGUUCGCAACAGUCCCCAAGGUUAUUUCGGAUUUCCAUAUCUCUCCACCCUGAGGAUUGUUAAGAACUAGUCCACUGUUGGCAGUCAAGUUCAGAACUGAUCCCCCAGGUGCAACCAUGGGGUUGUUACCGUCAUAUGCAUACCAAACUACGGUUUUGUCUGGGAUUUUCGCAUACCAUAUCGAAAGCAAGAAACGAUCAUUGUUUCCGAGGGGCGAAAAUCCAAACGCGAAAUCACCGGAUGGAGAAAGCCAUGAU